AAUUUCAUCAUUCAAUUGUUUUCCUUUGAAGUGUCCUCGUACCCUAAAGAAAAAGUUUGUAACCACACGGCGAAGUUUUUCUAGAGAUAAUUCUGGAACUUCUUGGCCUGCAGCAUGAUAUAACAAACUAAAAUCAGUGAUAACCCCAUAAAAAUAACAAAGAAGGCCAAAAAAACAAAGGCUUGCCUUUUAGUUUGUUCAUCUUGCAUAAGGGAUUGAAAAAAGGAAAAGGAAAGAAAGAAAAUUAAUGCAAAGUCUUUUCCCAAAAGUGGUCCAUAUUCAGAAGAAAUAUUUGUUGAAAUAAUUUUCAAAACUUCAUACCAAACAAGGAAAUAAUGAAAGCUGAUAUUUUUCAUCUACUUGAUUUCUUUUCUUCAGUUUCUUCCUCAUUUUUCUCUCCAGGCAUGGUGCUAAGACUUGGGUCUUAGAAAGCAUACACCCAAAUGCCUGAAGACUUGGGUUUUUUUUUUCUUUUUUUUCUUUUUUUGUCACCAGAAUUAUCACUGGACGCCCUUUGCAUGCCCAAAUUAAACUUGAAAAAGUAAAACAAAUUAACAUUAGAAAUGAAGAUUUCAGAUAUACUCCUACUAACCAACAUUGGAUUGUGUUCCUGGAAACCAUUCUCCUCGUAGAUGCAGUCCAAGUCCAUUUACAGACAGCUCGGGGGGUAUGGGUUUACCCAGCUCAGGACCUACAAGUUAGGAAGAAUCGAAGAAAUCUUUUAAGUAUACAAAAGCAAGCAUGAACAUAAACUUUUAUGCAUAGAAAGAUUUUGACCUUUAUGGGUACGAAUCACAGCUGCAUGUAAAGCGGUCAUCCCUUUCGUGCCCUCACAGGAACAUUCAGAACUGUUUCCUUUCAACAGUUCGUCAGCAAUCUUGAAAAACCCCCUUUCCACAGCCAAAUACAAGGGGGACUCUUUAUGAUUAUUAACCAAAUCCAACAUCUUAGGAUUUUCUUGAACCAACCGGUUCACCACCUCAAGAUGACCAUUCCUCACAGCCACAUGCAGUGCCGUAUCAGCCCUCCCAUUCUUCAUUUCCAGUGCUUGCUUGGCAUUUUUACUUUCAAGAAAGCACUUAACCAUGUCACUACAGCCAGUUCUCGAGGCAAUAUGCAGCGGAGUGUCGCCUUUGAAGUCAGCUCUAGUCAGAAGCUCUGGAAACUUCUCAACAAGAGCUUCAGCAAAGCCUAUGCACUUGAAAUUAGCAGCAAUGUGAAGAGCAUUGCGUUUCUGGGAUGUGGCUUGGCAGGGAAUACUCUGGAGGCUAUGUGGCUUCUGCAAGUAGUUCUUAUCCCCAGUUUUAGCAGCUAUGUAAAGAUCAGUAUCCAUGUCUUGACAAUGGAAAUCAGAAUCCAUGGGGAUGCUUGCUAGGAAUCUCCUUCUUUGCAGUCUACAUAUAUAUUACUAAAAGAAUAGACCAGUCCACAUCAAAUGGGGUACAGAGCCUGCUCAAAAAUAAUUGCACCUCUCACCUACUGCAUUAACAAAGCUCAUAUCAUCACAAAAACUUUUUAGUACAUAUAAAUAAUUUUGUUUCAUAAAGUAUCAUUAUUAUUACUUCAAUAUAUAUUAGUUUUAUGAAGGGUUUAUGAUUGUAGACGAGUCAAAAUUCAUCCAUUUUUGUUUUGUUUAUCACCUAGUGUGGGCAUUUUGGCUCUUUUACGGUGUGGCCAUCGAUUCAAAUGCUUACACAAAGCUUCAAUGAAUUUUGUGGCACCUCCCGUGGAAACUUGCCACCAAAGCUCCCAAUUCAGAAAUGUUGUUUUUAAAAUAAUAACAGAAUUGAGUAAUUUUCUUUCUUUCUUAUCUCCAACGUUUUUGCUAAAUACUUUCACUUUUGGAGCUUGGUUUUAUAUCUGAUUUCGUAAGUCCUAAGAUAUCUACUACCAUGUACCUUGAAAGGUUGGUGUUGAAUCUAUUGAUUAAUUGUAUAUGUUAGGACAAUGAGUCUUCAUCAUAAGUUAGCAAUUUUGUUCCUUUUAAUUUUUGUCUUAGGAAUCUUUUUAAAUAGUGACUUACUUUCUAUUAAAAGAUUCAAGGUUAUUGUUCGAUCAACUGGAAAGUCAUAUGUAAAUCUAAAAAGGUUUAGUUUAUGGCAAAUUAGGUGUUUAAAAGGGUUAAGUGGAUUGGUAUAUUUUUUAUUGAAUUAAAAAUGUUUUAUUUAAUAUUUUGAAAAUGCAAGGGAUGCUCGAGUGGUGGAAAUAGUGCUCAAGCGUUGGGACCACUCAAACACUUAUCCAACACUUAAGUGAUCAAGGCACUCAAAUGGUAGGUAAGUGCGCUCGAGUGCUCAUCCCAAAUCUACGAAAAUAUGAUAGAAUAUUUUUGGAUAAUUCAUGCAAAUUGAGUUUGGAAACUUCACUAUACCAAUCCCCUAAAGCUUGGAGGCCUAUAUAAACCCAUCUAUAACCCUUUUAGUAUGAAGUGUAUUAAAACCAAAUGGAAGAAUAAGACAAUUAAGGAGAAAGAUUACAUGAAGAUAGGACCUUAUGCUUCAACAAUAAGUAGCCUUAUGUAUGUGAUGUUGUGUCUUAGAUUAGAUAUUUGUUUUACUGUAGGAAUGAUGAGUAGAUAAUAAUCCAAUCUAAGUAUAAAGCAUUGGACAACGGUCAAGUAUUAGAACCAUAAACAAAAAGCUAAAACCAUGAUCAUUGAUUCUAAUUUUCAUAUGAAAAUUUUAAAAAUUUUAAAAAUAUAACAAUAAAAUAAUAUCGCAGGAUAUUUUUAUUUAAUUUAUACAUGAUUAGAUUUAUAAAACAAAUAAAUAUUUUUUUAGUAUGAAUAUAUAAAAUCUUAUAUCCUAAACCUCUAAAAAAUUUUAUUAUAUAUUUAUUUUUAUAUUAAAUUUGUUCUCAUUAAUUAUUUAUUAUAUAUUAUUAUUUUUUAUUUAAAAUAUCCAUAAAUAAUUGAAAUCAAUAACUAUAAAAAGAUGAAAUGGUGACAAAUUUUGAAAUUAAAAAGAUUUCAUGAAGCCUAUACAAUAAUAUAAAAAAAACAUUGCACAGUGAAAAAAAAAUAAAAUUCAUAUGGUAUGGUUGAUUGUCACACGAUAAAGUUUUUAAAAAAUAAAAAUUGUUAUAGUUCAUGGUAGGUAGGAGGACAAAAGGGUAAUUUUAGAAUUUUGAUGAAUAUAACUAUUUAAGUGUAUAUUUAUAGGAUUAGUUUUUGUAAGCGAGAAGUCAAGUCAAACCUCUCAAAAAAAAUCUUUUUUUUUUAAGGUGCACAUGAUUAUAUGAUUCUUCCUAUUCAAGGCUGGGGGCCCAUGCUGAAAUGAUAUGUCAACAACCCUCCUUAAAGUAGAGUUGUAAAAGCUACUUCCCUUCUAUGUCUCCGGCCGAUAUUUCAGUCUAGCGUGGCGGCUUUUAACGCUUCAUCUACCUAUCUUCUUUUACGUUGAGCGUGGAAUCCACCGUCAUCUCUAGCCUCAGCAUAUGAUUUGAACUUAGGAGAUACCCACACUGACUUUUCAAGUUUUGUCCAGUUGAGGAAACUUUGAAAAUUAUUUAGCAGAAGACUGAUAAUGCAACCUUCUUCAUAAGAUGGGUGAUUUUUGAACACUACUGUACUCUAACCAAAUACCAUUUGUGCUUAUAUGUGAUACAGUGGAUGGAAUAUCUUUUCCCCUUUAUUACGCAAAUACUUGUUUAAUAGGUAGGGAAUUUUUUUAAAUUAGUCCCCCAUCCAUGCCCAUUAGAGGUUCUGAAAUUCAUUUGUAACAUUUAUGAUUUUUUGGAAAAUAAAAGUACCUACUCCAAUAAUACCAAUAUGAAUGGUACCACCAAACUUUCGUACGUAUCUAUAAAGAAGGAGAAGGUGCCCAAACAAUGUAUCCAGAAAAAAACAUUCAAGAAAAUAAUCCCAACUACUAGAUUUCAACAAGUAGGAUUUUGAGCAUAAAAGAAACAAAAUAAAAUAAAAAUAAUGACGGCUUCGAAUGACAUCACUGACCCAACGCAGGCAGAGGAGUUAGGAGUUGCGUGGAAAUUGUGAAAGGCGUAGAUCACGCCACAUGGAAGCAGUGGAGACAUGGCCAGUAGGAUAAUUAAUAUCCAUGUGGAUAACAGAGUGGAUCAAAACAAUGCCAUUCCCAUCAUGAAUGAACACUCAUUAACUUCUGCGUUUACUUGACUUUUGAGAGAUUUGCAAAACAUGUAGAGAGAGAUAUCACCGGAAGAGUUUUCUUCUCAUUAAUCAUGUUAUGACUUUUAGUAAUAAAAUAAGUAUGCAGCUGUUUAGAAAGAAAGAUCAGCAUGGGUAGUAGCAACGCGCAACAAAAAGUCCCAUCAGACUUCUCAUCCCUGGGAAUCUUACACACUCGCUAGGUAGACUAAUCAAACCAGGACCCAACUGGUACAAGCUACUGUUUCAACCACUCAAUAUUUAAGGAAUCACUUCCUAGUCACUAAGAACAUAAACUAAUCAAACCCAACCUGGCACAGGCUACCUUAUCGACUAGUCAGUACUCAAGGGAUCAUUUCCUAGUCACCAAGAUCGUUAAUUUAGAAAAUCUUACACUGAAAAAUGACCUAUUCAUCUGCAUGAGCAUAUGCCUUUCACAUCCCACUGAAUAUAAUCUUAACAUCUGUUUCAUUAGUAUGAUUCUCUUAAGCUAUUGACUUCAAUAUUUACUUGGAAAUGAUAUCAAAGGGAAAAAGAUUACCGAUUCAGAAAAAUGUAAAGCAAGGUACAAAAUACUAGAUGGAGAUAUUUCAAAGAAAGAAAUUCUUUUCCUAUAGCUAAACUAAUGCACACGAUCAAAUCUAACACUGACAUUUGUUCUUGGAGCCAGACAGAAAGCCAAGUACAGAUACAGAGUGUUUUCAAGAUGGGAUUAUUUGGUGUUUUUAACUAUUUGAGUUGAAUGAUGAAAACACAUGACUUCAACAAUGACAAACCAAAUUGGUUAGUAUCCUGCUUAAUAACCGUAGUUUGCUCCAUUCACCGGGCCAUAGCCUCCAGUGUGGCUUGCAUGUGCUGGGUUGGAUGCAGGAGAUGCAUACAUCGAACCAUGAGCUGCAUAAGAAUUAUAGCCUGGGUCAGCAGAUCCACCAGUUUGGGCCUGUGCUGGUGCAGCAGCUUCAGCCAUAAAAUUCUGCAACACAAACAAUCAUUACAAGCAGACAAGUCCAAUUUGAUUACAUAAUGAAGCAUUGACAAAGAAUAAACAAAAUUUUAAUGGAAAAAUCGACUUUUUUGGUUGAGUAAGAUCCCAAUAAAACAAUAAUUAAACAAUUCUAUAUUAUAAGUAAAAAUCAAUGAUGAAGCUAAAUGGAAAAGAAUGAAGUCCAACUGUCUGAAUUGCUGACCACACUUAACAUUUCAAUAAUAUAUAUCCUAUAAAAAAAAUUCUUUAAUUCUUUAAUUCUAGUAAUAAAGUCGGUCCCACCAUACCUACCCCCACACGCACCCAAACACCACAUACAAGGAGACAUCAGAAACAAUGAUCUAAUGCUAAGCAAUGUCAUUAUGCAAAUGGAAACUGCAAUAUUAGCAAAGACAAACCAACAACUUGGUAUCAAAAACAGGGAGGAAGAGUGCCUGUAUCAGUUGCUGAGCUGCUUGGACUUGGGAAGCAGUUCCAUUGAUUCACGUGGCUACAAAAGACUCUUUAGGAGAAAGUUGAGGAGUUCACAUGUGUAUAGGAAGAUUGAUUCACAAGGCCCUUGAAAAUUUUCUAUUUAAAGCUCUUGUAAGGAAAAUGGGAGACAUAUCUUCCUUCUCCAUCAUUCCUUCUUUUCUCAUUUCUUUUUUCUUGAUAUAAAGCUAAGGAUUCUCUCAUUUCUUUCUUCUUCAUUGUAAGUUACUUGAUUGAAGCCAAAAUAUGUGCUCCAAUGGCACAUAUAUGAUGUUAUAAUUUAUGUAAUAUAAAAAGUUCAAAUCAUCCAACUUAACUUAAUUUCAUGCUAUGGCCAUAGUUAUGGAUCUAACUUUUAUUUUGAGCCUAAUUCUAAGUUUAAGGGAUGACAUAAAUGGAUAAGUGCAAAAGUCAUUAUCAACCAAGAAAGUAGAAGGGGUUAAACUAUAACUAAGAGACUCAAGACUUAUGAACCAUGAAAGUCCAAGAAAGGGUGUAAGAAGCAAGCCAUAGGCAUGAAAUACCAAUAGUAGAUGUUAUGGAUUGAGAUAGCAACUUCCUCAUGAUCAAAGACUGGAAAGUUUUUUUAAAGAACUUAGAAUAAAAUGUUGUUUUUAGCUACCAAGGCACAUAUAUGACCAGAAAAUUCAAUUAAGGCAACAUAUUUCUUCUGUCUUUUUUUUUUUUUUUCUUUUUUUUCAAGUUUCACAUAUGUAAAGAGAAAUAAAGCAGUGGAACCAAUGCAUAAUCUAAAAUCAUCGAAUUUCGAUGCACAUACCUUUUUUAUUUUCUCCCAGAUCCAUAUUUGAUUGGACAAUGUCGAUAGCCUUCAAAUAUUUCUUGUUUGAUGCCUUCUUAUCCACUCUACGAUCUCCGAGCUUUGACCCAAAAUGCUACACUUUAAAAAAAAAAUCCAUAAAGUAAACCUAAUGUGAAAAUAAUGCCCAAUCUAGUGCAUUUGUGCCACAUAGAUUGCCACAUCAUAAAACCGUAAUUGGUAACUACGGUUUUAUUUUUUUAAAACAUUCAAAACUGUAGUCACCAACCACGGUCUUAACUUUUUUAAAGUUAAAACCGUGGUUGGUAACUACGACUUUGACUGUUUUUACAAAUAGUCAAAGUCGUAGUUACCAACUACGGUUUUAACUUUAAUUCUAAAACCGUAGUUGGUGACUACAACUUUGACUAUUUUAAAAACAGUCAAAGCCGUAGUCACCAACUACGGCUUCAACUUUAAUUUUAUAUAUAUAAAUAAUUAUAUUGCUUGAUUUAAAAUAUUUAACUUUAAUUUAUUUAAAUAAAAAUAUUAUAUUAUUUUGAUUUUAGAUUGACUAAAAAUAUGUGAGUGGUUUAAUAAAAAUAUUUAACUUUAAUUGAUCUCAUUAUUUAAAGAAUAAUAAUAUAUGAAAUUAAAUAAUUGAUGUCUUUAAUUUAAUAUAAAAAUAUUUUGGUUUAGUUUUAUUAAAAUAUUUGACACUAUACUCAAUAUAAAUAUAAUUAGUUAUAAAUAUACUAUUUUAUGCCCUCAUAAUGAAGAAUAUUAUAUUAUUUUGUAACUUUGUACAAAAAGUAAAGCCAAUUAUGCAUUUGUACAAAACAUAAUAUGACUUCAAGUGGGUAAAUAAUUGGAAAAUUACUUAAAUACAACAAAAAUAAUUUUAUUUUCUCCAAUUUUUUCCUUUCAAAAUGGGAUCAAAAUGGAAUGGAAAGGCUUAAAAUUUUAAACUUAAAAUGCCAACCUAAUAGAAUUUGUUUUUCCACUUCUUAAAAUAUAGAAUUGUAGAAAGAAAAUACCUAUGUUUUUCCAAUCAAUUCACCAUUUAGUUUAACUGUUUUGGUAAAUAAAUGAAAAUGCUUUUAGAACAUUUUUGUAAAUUCAUUGAGAAUAAGAAAAAUGUUCCUUAUUGGGUUUUAACGGGAGUUUUGGACAAAAAUGAUUUCUUCAAAACAAAAAAUUCAUAAAUUAAUUUUAUUCUCAAAAUAAUUUUCAAUGUGAUGUGUGUCUUAUUCAUGAGGGUAUUUACAUCAUAAAACUGUAAUUGGUAAUUAUGAUUUUUGAUUUUUUUUUAAAUAGUCAAAAUAGUAGUUGGUGAUCAUAGCUUUAAAUUUAAACCUAAAACCAAUUUUUUUAAGUUCAAAUUUUAAACCAUGCGAAUGUUCAAUUUUUUAAGAAUUAUUUUGAUUGGAGGUUAAGAUUGUAAAUUAGUUUUAAUGCAUUAUUUUUUCUAUAUUGAUAUAGUGUUGUUGUAACUAAUUAGUUACAAAAUUUUAGAUUGUAGAAUUGCUAUAUAUAUAUAAGUUCAAUUUAAGUUUAAAAUUGAUCAUAUUUUCAUUUAAAUAUAUAAUAAUUUGUUCAUAAUAAUAAUAAUAAAAAGUUAACAAUAUAAUGCAAAUGAAAAUAAACACAAAAACUAAAAACUAGUCCUCAAUGAGUGCCACAUGAUGGGGUGGGUCUUCCUCUUUCUUUGCGGACACCUAUGAUACACAGACAUCUUUGUGGAAUCUAACUGUGCAAUCUGCCAUGUCUUAGUAUGUAUAGGUUGAGAUGGAGCUGAUGGAGGCAAGACUCGACGUCUACGUGGACCACGAUGUCUCCUAGGUGGACAUACAUCUAACUAUGUAACAUGUGUAAGGGUAUGAUGCAUGGUAGUCUCUAUGGGAAGAGGUGUAGGUGAUGGUAAAGUGGUAGAUGGUGGGGUGAUCUCAGGUACAGUGAUAUCUGAUAUGGUAGCAUCUAAGAGAGGUGAUAUAGGAGAUGAAAGAAUGACAUCUACUAUAGUGGUAGCUGGUGCAAUAACAUCUGAUAUAGUAGGCUCGAGGAGAGAAAAUAUAAAUGAUGAUGGUGAGGUGACAUGUGGUGUAGUGGUCUCCUCGAGACAAGGUAGAGGUGAUGGUAGAUUAGUAGAUAGUGGGGUAGUCUCUGGUGUAGUGACAUCAGGUAUAGUGGCGUCUGUGGGAGGAAAUAUAGGUGAUGGUAGAGUGCUAUCUGAUACGACAUGCUCUAAGGGAGAAGGUCUAGGUGAAGGUGAUGGUAGGGGUGAAGGGGGAAGUGUGGAAACCUCAGGCGCAAAUGGGGUAGAUGAUGUAAAUGGUGCUAACAUGGUCUCGGGUGGAUGCAUAGAUCAUCGAGGUUGUCGACCAGUUCGCCCACCAUCUCUCCUACUAUCUCUCCCUCGGCCUCGAAUAGGCUACAUCCUAACUGUAGUGGCUAACACAGGUGGUCUCAUAGAUGGGUAUGAUGAUGUAGGCGACUGACGGGCAAAAUGUAUGCGAUGGUCCUCACCAAUAACAUGCAAAAUAUCAAUAGCAAUCCGAUGAAUGUCGCCUAAUGCACCUGAAGUAGGCUCAGCAGAUCGACUAGCAAUCUCAACCAUACCAGUGAUCUAUUAAAAAAAAAAAAAGUUAAACAAACGAAGAUGAUUUUUAAUUAAUUAAAAUUUAAUAAACCAUUUAUAAAUUAAAAAAAUCUUACCAACAACUGAGUAGUUGCUGCUGUACUAUGAUACCUCAUCUGAUCUCUAUAGAGAGGGGGUGUGAUCAAACGUCGUGUAAUACGUCGGUACCACUCCAUAUAUGGAUCAUGAAACUGCAUAGCACCCACCAUAGGUGGUGCCGUCACAAUACGCUCCGCACAACUAGCUCAUAAGGUAAUAUACUGUGCAUGAAAUGCCUCCCAAUCAUACUUAUGUCGUCCUCGCCUAUCCACGGAAUGGAGGUGUUGCUCUAUGGAACAAGAUGGAGGUAUCCCUUGUUGGAGGCCAAACUGUCGCAACACUCGCUCCAGUCGAUGCCACUCGACAAUGUCAAAGCAGAUAAGAGGUGUCAUCAUCCUCCAAAUCUCCUAGUCUGCUAGAGAUAUCGCUGGAAGAUGGGCAACUAAGUCUCCCAUGUAAGGCUCCCAUAAAACUUGUUAAAAUCAAUAUUUGAAAUUAAUAAAGUUAACGUUUAUAUGGUUAACAAUAGCACAUUAGAUCUUAUAUGUACCUGGUCAUGGGUCUGUGCAUCUAAUUGGUCUCGAUAAAAUGUCAACACACGUGAUGGGUUUUGAGCCCAUGAUAAAGGUACUUUCCACCUACAUCCUAACAGAUCAGCUAGUAAACCCUCGUGUAACAAUGCCUCAUCCUGUAAUCCCUGCUCUAAAUGCUCAGUUGGUAAAUCAUCAACUGCAUCAUGCUCUAAAUGCUGGGCUGCUGGAGGGGCUGGUGGUUGACCAAAAUCGAGUUGACCCAGGUGGAGUCUCUCCCAAGACCAUAACUGCAAAAAAAUGUAACAUUAAAAUUUUACUUAAAUUAAAAACUUGAAACAACUAGAAAUUUCAAUCUAAUGUGAAUAAUUAAUUAUACCUGUAAUAGUGUGACACAUCCAGCAAUAUCGGUGGCACCAUCCAAACUCACUCGACACAACUCCCUAUAUAGGUGUGCUAAUACUGCACUACCCCAACUAUACAUAGAUGUUUGAGUCAAGUCUCUAAGAAGUGGGAGAUAACACAUAUGUAUGUGAGUACCCUUCUUGUCUGUGAAUAGCGUUGAACCUAUGAGUCCUAAUAUGAAAGCCCAUGCAUAUUGCUCUAAUGUGGCAUCAUCUAAAUCAAUUGGUGGAUGAGAGAACUGGUGACAUAGUCAUCGUGUCGAUAUCGCUGAUCCUUUAAUCUCAGAUGUAAGGGGAGUCACCCCUAAAAGUUCAUAACAUAGCAAUGACCAAUCUAUAUCACAUGUGCCAGUGAUGGGAAGCCCAUGAAUACGAAGACCUAAUAUGACAGCAACAUCCUGUAAAGUAAUGGUCAUCUCCCCAACAGGUAAGUGAAAUGUGUGUGUCUCAGGACGCCAUCUCUCAACUAGACUAGUGAUCAAUCCGCAAUCUAGUGUAAUGUGUCUAAUACGAUAUACAUCAUAAAAUCCAGAUCGAAUAAUAUAAGGUCAAAGACGAGGAUCCAUCUUCCACUCCUGCAUAAACCUAGAUAUAUGUUGUUGACAAGUCAAGAUUGAAGCAAGCUGUAAAAAUACAAAUAAAUCAUUUAGAUAAUAAACUGCAAUUUUUUUCAUUCUUUAAAGAGAUAUUAUGUGUUUUCAUAUACAUACCUGACCAGAGUCAACUAAAUGAGACCUAUGUCUAUCAUGUAGAACCAAAAUAGACGUAUCUAAUGGAUCUGGAUCAGAACUAUGUCCUCUAUACUCCAUAUCUGUAACAAAAUUGUGAAGAUAAAUAAACAAUACUUAUUGUUUUUAAAUAAAAAAUAUUUUUAAUGGAAAAGUUUUAAAAAUUUAUGGAGUUUUCCAUAUAUUAAGUAUAUAUCAGUUUGAUAAAUUUAAGUAGAUCAAUUCAUUUAUGACCAAUAAACAAGUCAUACUAGUUUAAAAUAAAAUUAGAGAUACAAAUACAAUGAAGCAUUUUGUUAACAUUUUUAAUAGAAAAUUUCAAAAUUUUGACAGAGUUUCCCCUAUAGUAUGGAUAUUAUUCCAAAUACAAAUAACAUGAUUAGGCAAAUAACAUCAAUAUUUAUAAUCAAACCAAAGCCAAUAAUUGAAUAAAGGUAGUAUCAUAGUAGCUUACAUCACAAUAUCCAAGAAAAUUACAUGCACACAUCACAAGGUCUAAUCAACUCUAUUACUGUUUUGACAAGAAUGACGAUUGUGGCCACUUUGUUUGCAUAACCCACAUGUAAUAGAAGUCUUGCCCUCUCUAACAUCCAUUUCAUUAUGCAAACGACUUGAUUUAGGUCGUCCACUCGAUGCACGUUUCAUCGACUUAGAAGGCAUGAUAAUCGGGCCAUCAUAAGGAGGCCACUCAUAUACAUUGAAAAUGGGAUGGAACAAGGGUGCCCAAGUAUUAUAGUACGAUUGUGUACUGUAGUAGUGUUGAACAAGUGGUCUAAAAUCAACUGAACGAAAAUGACAUGCUGCUAGAAUAUGACUACAUGGGAAUCCAUAUAUGAGUGUUUUACCACACAUGCAUGCAUACUCCUGUAAGUUGACGCGAUAUGUUCGACCACGAGUUGAGCUACUCUUAGUACCCCUAUUACUCUUCACGUGGAAUUGUCCUUAGAUGUGAUCAUAUAAAAUAAUCUCAUAAGAUCCCACCUUAACCACAUUUGCCUUCAUCUUAGCAUCAACAUAUGGAGUGUAUUCCUCACUUGAAGCAAGUCGAUUAGCACCUUGUUCCCUUCUCACAACAAAGUAACUAUUUAGCCGAAAAAAUGUCAAUUGAACCAAAGCAGUUACGGGUAAGCUACGAGCCCCUUUAAGCACACUAUUGAACACCUCCGACAUGUUUGUAGUCAUGAUGUCGUACAUUCGACCUCCGUCAUGAGAGAGUGUCCAUUUCUCAAAAGGGAUUGCUUCCAACCAUUGUUGUGCGGCUGCAUUAAUCCUCCCAAUUGUGUUCAUAUGUUUAUUGAAUUUUUCAAUCUUGGUUGCUAAGGCUCCUCUGCACAUAAGAUUUUUCAAUAUUUUAUCCUUGAAUCGAGUCAUAAAAUUGCUAGCAAGAUGACGCAUACAAACCCUAUGAUAUGCGUAUGGCUCAGACCAACCAAGAUGAACAUCGCUCAUUGCAGCCAUAAUGCCUGGAUGUCGAUCUGAUAUAACACAAAGUUUCCUCCUAUUAGUGACUCUUGUUCUAAUACAUGCCAAAAACCAUCCCCAACUAUCAAUAUUCUCACCCUCUGUUAGGGCAAAAGCCAAUGGGAAUAACUGAUUAUUUCCAUCACAACCCAUAGCAAUCAUUAAAGUGCCUUUAUACUUCCCAUACAAAUGUGUACCAUCAAUACUGAGUACAGGCCGACAAUGCUUGAAUCCUUCAAUAGAUGGUUGAAAUGUCCAAAAAACUCGUUGAAAUAUUUCUGUAUUCUCCAUAAUACCAGGAAAUGUUUUUGAAAUUACAACACAUCCUGGAUUUGCCUGCUCUAAGGCAAUGAAAAAAUGGGGCAGCUCUGCAUAUGACUUAUAAAAAUCACCAAAUAAGUUUGUAAGAGCUUUAAGCUUUGCUUUAGAUGCAUUCUUGUAUGACAUUUGGUAUCCGAAUUUCUCCACAAUACUUGCUUGAAUAGCAGCCACUGAUAAUGUGAAUUGUGCCUUAAUCAUUCCUUGGAUAUGAGCAGCAAUCAAGUUGGAAUCUAAUUGUUGAUGAUCCCGAUUCAAGCAAGGAUUUACACAUUUGUGGGGACCAUUGUGUUUAUUGAUUGCAAAUGAAGUUGUACCUUUUACAACCAUAGCAUGAAGUUUCCAUGGACAUUGCGAUUGCUCAGCCUUCUUGCAUCUUAGGACCAACAACUUUGUAGUUGACGAAACAACAACGUACUCUUGGUGUUGACUUAAAGAGUACAACUUCGCAGCAUGUUGUAAAUCUGCUUUUGAAUUAAAAACUUGGCCAACCAUGAACUCUCCACCUGAGUUUCCAAUAUUAGUGUUCCCUCAUGGGGUCCAGUCACUUGAAACGGCGUUACCAAUGUUUUCUACAUUUUCAAACUGCAAUGAUGGUGCCGAGUGAUACUGAACAGGGGAAUACUCUAUUGGAUCAUCAGGAUCUGGGUUAUUUGACAUAUCACAACAUUCCCCAUCCACGGAGACAUAUCUCCCUUGUUCACUUUCCAUUGCUUCGUAAAGAGCUAAGAAAGAUGAAACAACAUUAACAUUAUUGUUUUCCUCAUCAAUAAAUUCAAACACCCCAUCGCCAUCAUGUUGAACAUCUUCUGCUCUCUCACUUUGAUCAUCACCUUCUUGGGAUUCACAUUCUUCUUCAUUUUCAUUUGCUCUACACUCAUAAGUCAUUGCAACUGGGGCACUACUAGGUCCACAACCAUACUCAAAUUCCUCAACAUUAUCAUUUUGUCCGAGUAAUAAUUGUGUGAAGUUACCCAAAAAUUGCCCCCUCUCCCGUGGUUGUAUUGGCACUUGUUCAAUAUACAAUUCAAUUUCGUCCAUUCCAAAUGUGUUAACCAAUUUCAACAUUUGAGAUAAACUAUUAUCAUCCCAUAUUGGACAAGGUUGAAACCUAUUUUCCCUUUUUAAAGGAUAUCUACAGUUGAGGACUAAUUGAAAUUGUUUUUUGUCAAUGCCAGUUCUCGAGUAUAUCCUAGAUAACAAGUGUUCAUAGGUUGAACUAACAGGCACAUCCAAAGGCACAAUUACAACUAGAUCCCCAAUAUACUUUACAUCUGUUUCUGUCCUCAACAUUUUUCCUUUACAAAAGCAAAUCACAAGAACAAUAGAUUCAGACAUGAUUUACCUACAAAAAAUACAAUAUCAAAUGGUUUAAUAAUCAAUGAAAAUAAUAGCAAGAGAAAUUGCAUAUAAUAUUUUAACAUGUGAAUACACAAUUAUAUAAUAAAACACAUUUUUACACAUUAGGAGGAAAAAUAUAAAUCACUUCAUAAUAAUAAUUUUUUUAUUUAAAUAGUUAUCUAUGAUACAAAUAUAAUCAUAGAUAAAUGUUUUAUAGAAUUUUAAUUUAAAACUUAGGUAGUGGGCUAUAAAUCAAUAAAUGUUGAGUUAAAAAAUUACAAUAAUCUUAAAAUUAAAUAAAAAAUAAUCCAUCAAAAAAAAAUUUUAUUAUAAAAUAUCAUAUAUUAAAAUAAAAUUGAACGUUAUGAACUAUUAAAUAAUACAUAAUUUAAAUAAUUAUGUUAUUAUUCAUGAAUCAAUUGAUAUUUGAUUAAAGCUAAAAGUCGAAAAAAAAAUCAAAAUCAAAAUCAAAUGAAAGUAACUGACAAAAAAAAAUAUAUUAAUAAAAUAUCAAUUACACAAUUAUAAAAAUUUGAUAUAUGUGUUUAUUCUGUUUUUGGAAAGCUAGGUCCCUUCUUUUGACUAGUUUCAUUGAUCAGGAGCUGUCUAGAUGAGAAAUUGUGUGUGAAGAUGAAUCAAAAACCUAGGAUAAAUCAACAAUUUCAUAUGAAUUACCAAAUUGCAGAUCUAAAACAGGGGACAACAUGGGAUAUGGGAAGCAUGACCUCAAAAAGAUAGUAGAACCAAGGAUGAGACAUCAGUUUUCAUGGAUAUAUCGGUAGUUGGAUUUUACGAAUAUACUAGGAUAUAUCGGGAAAUAUCAAUGGAAAUUUUGACAAAUAAAUCGAUGGAAGAAAUUUUGAGGAAAAAAAAAAAGAAAAAACAAGAAAUAAUAUGCAUAUUCAAGUUAUUACUUUUAAAUUAUAUAUAUAUAUAUAUAUAUAUAUAUAUAUAUAUAUAUAUUAUUUCUAAUAUUCGAUAAUAAAUUAAUAAUAUAUAGAACUUGAAAGCACAUUUUACAUUGAUAUAUCUAAAAGAUACAAAAGAAAUGAUGAUAUAUGUAUGAUUUUUAAAAUAUUUGAAAUUUUUUUUUCUAUUAAGUUUAAUUAAUAAAAAAAUAUGAACAAAGACUCAUUAAAAAAUUUAUGAUAAUCAUUUUUAUAUUUUUUAUACUUAAAUCAAAUUUGGAAAUAAGAUAAUUAAAAUUAAAUUAUUUAUUAGAUGUUUAUUUUAAUAUCUUAUGUAUGAUAAAAAUGUAUUAAAAAUAUAUUUGUCUCCAAAAUUCCUUUAUUUUUUUUAUUAAAAUGAGAAAAAUAAAAAUUUGUGUGUGUGUAUAUAUAUAUUUAUUAACAAUUGUAAAAAAAAAAAUCACAUUAGUCCCACUGGUCAUGAACUCUUUUGCCAUGUAUAAGAACAAGGGGGUUUGAGUUUUUAAUAUGGUUUUCCCAAAAUUUAAAUUAUUUAUGUUGUCUACCAUAUGAAGUAACAACCAUCUGGAGUGGCAACAAAAAGGUCAAGAUCAGAUUCUGAUGGCUAGGAUAAAGGCCUUGAACCCACCUUAAUAAUAGCAACCAUUACUUUGUUUUCGUGUACACUCUUUCCUCUCUAAAUACAAGGCAAAAAAAAAAAAUUGUUUAAAUGAAGGGCUCUCAUUUUUUCUUCUUCAAAAUUGGCAACUUCCAUACAUAUCAAGAAGAUAACUAUUAGGCAAAUACUAAGUGGAAGGAAAUUAACAAAAGUUGAACUGUUACAAACUUAUACUAGAGGCCUUCUACUCCAAGUGUACUAAGCCUUUCAUUGUACCAUGUAUAUUGUGAAAAGAUCAUAAGCUUAAAGCUACUAUACUUUUUCUCUUUUUCACAUUAAUUACUUUUCUGCAUGGAAAAUGAAAGCAAAAGAGAAAAACAUGUCCCUUGACACUUUCCAUACCAAACAAUCCAUGGUCAGCGUUUUUGUCUAUUUUACUUGUAACUUUUAUGCACUGCACCUCAUUUACCAUUUUUGUAUUUCUCAAAAACUAGCUAGCUAGGUUCUGUUUGACAGCCUUUAAUUGGUAGGAAUAAACUUCUUUUUGAGAACCCAAAUAUAGAAGUUUUUUUUUUUUGCUCGAGAUACUGUACACUUAAGAAAUAGUACAAAAUUUUCCAACUUAUUCUCAUUAUUUUUAGAUUAUUUUUCAAAACACUCUACAAAAAAAAUAUGUGAAAAAUCCUUAAACUUAUUCAAACAAACCACUCUAUGUUUAGAAUAAAUUUUCAAAAGCUAUUUCCAGUCUACAACUUACCAAACAUUGAAAAACCAUUGUUUGUUCUAAAAACAAAACUUUUUUAGAAAAUAGGCCCCCUAAAGGAUCCACAAGAUGAAUAGGGCAAAGAUCAAGGAGAUCAAUAAAAAAUGAUCAGACAGUGAGAUCUAUUAACAUAGUGCUCAAUCUAAACAACCUUGUUCACAAAAAAAAAUAAAAAUAAAUAAAAAAAUAGGUCUAGUUUUUUCAUGAGUUUUACAGUGGUAUGUAUUCAAAUUUCCAUGGAAUGUUUUUGACAAUGAGAAACGUAAGAUUGAACCCACAAGAAGAGAGAAAAACCAAGCUUUGAAGCUUACCUAUCCACAAAUACAGGAGAGCAACCUCAGAAGAAGAAGAAGAAGAAGAAGAAGAAUAUGCUUGUACUAAAGCUUUUGAUUAAGGUUUAAUUUGGAAGAGAAUGGCAAAGAGAUUCUUGAGGUAAACCAAAACAGUAGCAGGAGAAGGAGAAGAAGAAGAAGAAGUAGAAAGAAUAACUAAAAAGGAAGUUGAUCAUGAGCCCUGCCCUUCAUUCAAUUCAUCUGUUUCCCAUGAAAAUAUAUAUGAUGUAAGUCCGAAUAUUGGCUAAAAAUCCAGAAACACAGAUAAUAAAUUUAAAAAUUAUUUUUUACAUUGGGGGUUUCAAGUAAAAUUUUGAAAAUAACUGACAGAUAGUUUAAAAAAUUAUCCUCAAAAAUUGUUUUUUAUAACAAUUUUUAAAAACAGUAUUAGACAAGUUCUAAUAAUUUCUUACUGAGUGGGAGAAUGAGAGAAAAUACAAAUAAAAUAAUUAAAAAUCUUAUAUAUACCAACUGAUGAAGGAUUGAAUGUUCUAGUUUUCAACUUUUCAUUAGUUCAAUAAAAUUACAAUAAAAGGAAUGAGAAUUUCUGCAGAUGCAAAGAAGAGAAUAGAUUUAACAAUAAAAAAUCAUUAAAUUAUGUUUAAUCAGAAUCUCACAGGAAGUUGAAUGGAAAAAAAAUCAAGUAUCACCAAACUAAAGAACUAUAUAAACAAAUCUCAAGGUUCCAGGAAGUGGAGAACUAAACAACAAAACAUUUUGCAUAUAUUUUGAGAAUGGGUUUAAGAUUCUUGUUCAGAUAUUUGAAGAUAUACCAUCUGAGUGGUCCCCUCACUCUUGGUAACAAAUAUUUGAAGAUAUUUUCUAUUUCUAUAACAAAAAUCAUCGGAGUUUUUUUUAUAGUGGUUCCCUCCAUUUUUGGUAUCUUUAACAAAAAGAAAUCCAUACUGGUCCCCCAUUCCAUAUCCGUUUUCUUUACCAAAAAAACCAUUUUCUUUCUGCUAAGCUCAAAAUCAAAAUAAAAUCAAACAUGUCUUUACCAAACAGAAACCAAACAAAUCUGUAACAACAAACCAAACAAAUUUACAAAAAAAAUAAAAUAAAAUUUACGAUUAACUGAAAAAUUCAUAAAUCUUACCUGACAACGACUUCCAAAAUUUGAAUUUGAACCAAGGAUGCAAAGGGAAGGAUGAAACCCUAAAGGGAAGAACGAAACCUUAAAGGGAAGAACAAAAGCCUAAAGGGAAGAAAGCCAAUCGGGGAAAUGGAGAAACCUAAUGGGAAAGGGACGAAAAAGGAAUUCAAAACUGUAGUUACCAACUACGGUUUUGACCAAUUUAAAAAAAUUCAAAACCGUAGUUACCAACUACGGUUUUAUGAUGUGGCAUUCCACAUGGCCCAAACGCACUAGAUUGGGCAUUAUUUUCAUAUUCGGUUUAGUUUAUGCAUUUUUUUUUAAAUGCGGCAUUUUGGGUCAAAGCUCACGAUCUCCGGCCAAAAUCCGGAUGCUGUUGUACUAUCCGUACAUAGCAGCUAGAUGCAAAGUCGUGUUGCCUUGAUUAUCUAACUCAUUUAUUAGGCUUUCCCAUCUUGGUUCUUUUAGAGUAUACUUCAUCACUAUAGACUUCCCACAUUGGGCUGCAACGUGAAGAAUGGUCCAACCUUUAUUGUCAACCAAAUUAUUAGCACAUGGACAGCGUUUGAUGAUCUCUGCCAUCAUAUCAGGGUAGCCUUUUUUAGCUGCUAUGUGAAGAGCAGAACUAUCUUCUUUAUCCCACAAGUAAGCAACUGAUUUAUCACAUUCCAGCAAUUUCCUAGUCGCUUCAAGAUGUCCCAAUUGUGCAGCAUAAUGAAGGGGAGUCCACAUAAAUAUGUCUGUUUCUGUGACCAUAUCUUUCUUUUUGUCCAGUAGUAUUGCAAUAAUGUCAUCUAGCAAUUUAGACCAAGAAAAAGAAAUAUAAUUAAAACAGACUUUUUCAUCCAGAGUACUUUUAGAAAAUAUAUUACGUUCUUUUUAUUUUAAUAUCAGAUAACGGCUCAGGAUUACUUCCCCAUGAGAAGGAUCAGGCAUUAUGCAAUGAAUUUUCCCAUCAAUUAUAAAGAGGGUAGCUACUAGCCAGUGUGGCAUAUAUUGUAAAAGUAAUUGUGUGAUUUUCUUUCCCUGGUCUUACUACUUUUCUAGUUUAGUUAAGCUCUCCACCUAUCAAUUAGAAAAGCAGAAGUAAAGGUUUGGGCUUGGGUAAGUAUUCUUCAAAAAUAAUUCUAAAAAAUAAUUUAUAAGAACUAUUGAAAACCAUUUUCUGAUGAUAUUUUAUAAAACAAAAGUUCUAAUGGCUGUAUUAUUAUGCUUGGUUGGAACUAAUGAAUACAAUUCUGAUGACUAUCUGUCAUAAGUAUAGGAAGGCCAUGCACUCCAUGUAGAUUUGUUCGGCGUCUGUCAGGAAUCAAGAAUCAGUUAAUGGGGCUCCGAAUGUUCUACUAGCCUUGCCAAAAAGUACUUCAUGAGGCUAAACUCAUCCACACUAAAGUGGUGUUUUUUUUUUUUUUUACUUAAUUCUAAAUAGAAGUUUAAUGCUUAAUAGCGUUAAGUAUUAAGUUAUUUAUUUUUAUAAUACUUUAUUUCUAUUAAGCAUUAAAAAGUAAAAAAAAAAAAAAAAAUCAACAUAUCACUUUUUCUAUUCAAUAAAAAGUUUAUAAUAAAUCAUGAAAAAAUAAAAAAACAAAUGAUCUAAAGUUUGAAAGCAAAUUGCUUUUAGCAAAAAACUAAAAAAAACGCUCUCUAAGUCUAUAGAUUUAUGUGUUCUUGGCUUUGUAUAUCUUAGACAUGUUGGAUAAUGGUGUAACAAAGAUUUCUCCAUUUUUUUCUUAUGCAUUUUCUUCUACAAUAUUUUUCAAGCAUCCCGUUGUAGGGAUAUUUACACAUAGUGCAAUUUUGCUUUAUUUUUGUUGGCAACUUCUUCUCUCUGUUGUAUUAUUCCAAGUACCUUAUGUUACGUCUGACUCUAAAAAAUUAUUAAAUGAAGGAAAAAUAUCAAGAAACUUAUUAUUAUUAUUAUUAUUAUUAUUAUGUUUAGUUUAUCAAAAAUUAUUAAAGGAAGGCAAAAAUUGUUAAAAAAAAUAAUUUUUAUUAUAAAAAAAUUAGAAAAAUAAAUACAAUUAAAAUAGGUUAAAAAAAUUAUAUAUGUCCAAAUUAUUUUACAGUUGUGUAAAAAGGAAGAAAAAAAAAAUGAGAAAAAUGAAUUUGAAAAAAUAUUAUUAAUAAUUUUUUAACUUUCAAUUAAUUUUUCAUCUUCCUUUAUUUUUGUUUAUGUUUUCCUUGUCUAGUAUAUUCCUUCAAAAUUUCUAAGAAUCAAACAUGUGGGUUGCGGACUGGUUCGCUGGCCUGCUGGCCUGCUUGCCCGCUUGCCUGGUCCAAGCAUGAAGUUGGGUUGACCUCUAAUGGUCCCUUGGUGGACCAACCCACCAACCUAACCAAACGAAGGUUGCUACCUUGGAUCAAGUGUCUGGGAUUUGAGUAAUAUCUUCUCCUGGGUUAUUAAAUUUUUAUUAGUUUUCAACGGUUUUCUAUUUGUAAUGAUUAAAUUUUUAUUGUAAAAAUGGCUCAUAAAAACAUUGAUUAUCCUAUAACAAUGUUCCAGAAGCAAGAGAUUAUUUACCAUAGCUUUGAACCGCUAAUUUUGAAUAUUGAAAUAAGUGGAAAUAGAAAUAAAUACUAUUAUUAUGUUUAACUUUAUGAAAAUUGUUGUAAAUGAAGUGGUGAAUGACCACAUUGAUGGUCAUUUAUGAACUCCAUUCACUACUACAAAAAUAGUUUAUGGUGUCACUAUUUACGGUGUCACUUUUAAAAUAAUGACACCAUAGGAUUUAUAAUUAAUAAAGGUGACACAUCAUAUAAAAAAUCUUCAAUUGAGGUAGUUAGAUGAUAUUAAUUUUAUAUUUAUAGUGUCAUUUUUUGGGAAGUGACAUCAUAUAAAAUAAUUUUUUUAAGUAUUAUAACCCAUUUUUAGAAUUAAUAAUGAUGGAUACUAUAUAAAAAUCCCAUUGUUUCCAUAUCUCACCCACAAUCCAAAAAAUCUCAAUAUAUAAAUCCUAUAUAUAAAAUCGUGAUCUUCUUCAACCUUUUCUCUCACCCAUAGUCAACAUGCUCACAACCGACAUUCUUCACUUUGUGGACUCCCAAGUAACCCAAAAUCUCUUGGAUCUAUCAUUUUUUUUUUCUUUUAUUAAUGUCAUUAUAUUAAUUGUUUCAACAUCUUUGUAUUAUGAUUUUUGUGAAUUGUGUAUUCUUGAGUUGUAGGGAAGAAAAAUUUAGGUUUAAUCUUCUAGCGUAGAAGAAAAAACUGUAGAUUAAUUGAUUUUUUAAUCUAAACCAAACACAUGAUCAAAUCCUUAAAAAAAGUGAAAAACAGAAAAAAAAAAUGAAUGAUUUUUAAUAUCUAUUUGUGUGAGAAUGACAGGCACAGAAUUUUUUUGAGAUAUACUAUCACAUAAUCUUCAUCCUUUCUAAAAAACGAGAGAGGAAAAAAAAUGAUUUUUCUGUUUGUAUCUAAGUGGGAAUGAGAUAUAGAAUUUCGUUGAGAGUAUCCAACCCCAAAAGGACCAAUUCGGGAAGGCAUGUGUGGUAUUGGCGGAAGAUGAUAAGAUGGAAAUCAUAACCAUAGCCAUGUUCGAUCUCUCUAUGUCUUUCUAUCCUCUUCAAUUAAUUCAUGGGCAUAGAUAUUUUAUUUAGUUUUUAUAUUUAGUUUAUUUAGUUUCUAAAAUCCAAUUAGCUAGAUUUUUUAUUUGAUUUUAUUUUUAUAUUUAAGUAGUUGAGUUUUGGAAAGUUUUUAUAUUUUGUUAAUAGAAAUAGAAAUUUUUAUAUUUUUUAUUAUUAGGAAUUUCUAUUUUGUUAAAUUGUAAGUAUCUAUCUCAAUAAGAGAUUAUUAAUAUUCAAAUGAAAGUGAUGAAAGAGAGUAAAUAUUUUAAUGCUCAAUUAUAUUUUAAUGUUUUUUUUUUUUACAUAAGGGUUUAUUUAUGUUUUCAAUUUUGAAGUUCCCUUUCCAAGUCCAUCAACAAAAGUAGUGUCCAACCUUAAAAUGGGCAUGUGUGGUAUUGACGGGAGAUGAUAAGAUGGAAAUCAUAACCAUAGCCAUGUUCUCUCUGUGUCUUUCUAUCCCCUUCAAUUAAUUCAUGGGCAUAGAUAUUUUAUUUAGUUUUUAUAUUUAGUUUAUUUAUAGUUUAUUUAGUUUCUAAAAUCCAAUUAGCUAGAUAUUUUAUUUGAUUUUGUUUUUAUAUUUAAGUAGUUGAGUUUUGGAAAGUUUUUAUAUUUUGUUAAUAAAAAUAGAUAUGAGGACUUAAAAGGGUUUAUAUUUAGGUAGUGCUUGAGCCAAGGAAAAUGAUAGUCCACUAUCUUGACCCUAUGCAUCACAAACCAUGUGAGGACUUAAAGGAUAUCGUAAACAUGUAAGUUCUUCCUAUUAUUUUUCAUAGUAUUAUUUUUAAAUAAAAAAAAUACAUUCACCUCAAACACAUUUUUUUAUUAUUUAUAUAUAUUAAAACAUAUAACAUUUACCUAUUUUUAAAAUGUACCCAUUGAACUUAUUUACAUAGGACUCUUCGAAUAUCUGCAAAGAAAACAUCUAAGAGGGAGUCAUCUUAGAAACUAGUGCAAGUGACAUCCAAAAAAUUUUCUUUACACAUUAGCUUAUGCAUUUGCACCAUUUAUAUAUGUGAGUACUAAUGUUAUUUUAUAAUUGAUCGAUUAGUGUCCAAGACAAGGAGGGUUCGAAUGUGGCUACUUUGUUAUGAGAUUCAUUAAAGAGAUAAUUUUUUAUCCUACAAUUAUUGCUUCAAAGGUAUUACUUAUUAAAUGAAUUGUACAUAGUUUUAGGCUUCCAAAUGUUAUGCAUUUUAAUGUUAUUUUCUUAUUUGAUUUCAGUUUUGUGAUAAAAAAAAACAUAUUCUCAAGUAGAAUUAUAUUUCCAUUUAUUCAUUAGAAGAAGCACCCUUCGAUGAAAUUAGAGGAGAAUGGGCUACUUUUGUGCUACAACUAAUCAUGAAUCAUGUUAAUGCAUCAUGAUCACCAUGCAUGGUGAGUCCCUUAGCUACUACAUGAAUUUUUCCAUAGGUAUUGUAUAGUAAUGCUUAUUCUUUGAAUAAUGUUUCUAUUUGAAAAAAAAAAUAGUUCUUAGAUUUGUUCAUUUAUGAUAACAUCGAUCCAUGUUUAUUUUCUUCAAUAAAAAUCUCUAAAACUCAUUAAAUUUUGAAAUGCAGGUAUACACUCUUGGGAUGGUGAAAUGGAGAAUAAAAAGAAAGAAGAAGGCAACAAGAUUUUGGGUUUUUAAAUGCAACUCUUAUGUUAUACGUUGUAGGACAUAAACGUUACUUUAAUUGCAACUGAGAAAUUUAGAUUUUUAGAUGGGACUUUUAUGUCAUUUUAUGGUUAGCCGGUUUUAUGCUUAGGAAAUGGAGGUAUACAUGAAUCUUGGGAUCUUUAACAUUUCUAAAUCAUGUUUUGGUAUGUAUUCACUCUUCUUUUUUAGUUUUGAUGGGUUUGAUAUGUUGGACGUACUAUCCUUUUGUGAACAUUUGAUAUACAAAUAUUAUUAGAUGAUCAAUGUAUUAUGAGUUAUUCUAGAAACAUUACAGAAAAAUGAGUUAAAUAUAAUAUGAUUGUUAUAUUUAUGGACAAAAUAUAAAUAGGUUAAUCUUAUUAAUUCAUAAGCAUUACAAAAAUCAACAACUAAAACCAAUCAUAUCUUCCACAAUAAUUUACAAUGAUGUGAUACCAUAACUUAAAGGUGAUGCAUUUAAUGUGACAUCAUAACUCAAAGAUGAUGUAUUUAAUGUGACACCCUAUCAUCACUAGAAAUAUAUGGUGUCACUUCCAAAUGGGUCACCAUUUAUCUACUUUGGUGUCACUUCCAAAUAUGUCACCAAUUGGUACCCUCUAUGGUGUCAGUGGAGAAAGUGACGCUAUGUUGUAGUGACACCCUAUGUUUAUGGUGACUCGUUAUAAAUGUCACCAUAUACCUUUUUCCUUGUAGUGAUUUACUCAUCUUUAAGAUGAGUAAUGGGAGUUCAUAUUAUGAAGCCUAUAAAAGGCUUUUUACAAAAAAAAUAAAAUUCUCUUCCUCUCAUUCUCUCUCUCUUUCUUUCAUUCUCUCAAUUUUCUCAACUCUCUUCUCUGAUUCCUUCUUCCCAUUAUAUAUAUUGUUAAAGUAAGAUAUAUUUUAUCUCUACUACUUUAUUUGUGUUGCAUUUAUCCUUGUUUUACAACAAAAAUUAUAUUUUAGAAUAAUUUUUAUAAAAAUUAUGGUGAAUAUUUGAAGGCACCCAAAGCAUAUUAACUUGUACUUAAUAAAGAUAAGGCCAUAUUGAAUGUUUUGAUAUUGGUUUAUGAAACUACUUAGAGGAGAGUGAAUAGGCGGUCCUCUGCUUACAACACUCAAAUUGAAGUUUUAAAUAUUUUUAUUAACUCUUAAUUUAAUCAAUAUAUGUAAUUAAUAAAUAGAGCAAAGAAUAAUCUUACACUUGACAUGUGAUGUACAUGGAAAAUCAUCUACAGAAUCUAUAAAAAAAACUUGACGAUGAAAAAUUCAUGAGUCAAUUGAUCAUAGAGCAAAUUCACUAAUUUUGAUAGAAUAAAUACAUAAUCUUACCUAGAUGAAAUACUACCUUCCUUCAAGCAUCUUACACAGGUCAGUACUUACACUUGCUUUCAUGUUCAUAAUGCAAAACCCAUGUAUUCCUUAGUGAAUACCUUAAAACUUUAAGAGAUGUGAUCAACCACCAUGAACAACUUCAAACAAGAUAUGAGCUUUUGGAGUAUCAGGAAUAUGCAAAAGAUAAUAACAAUAAAUUGUAGGGUACGAUGAUGUAUGAAAGUACAAAGUUGAGCAAUGUAUGAUGGCAAAAAACUAACUAAAAAAGAUUUGAAAAGCUGACAAAUAUAGGAUAUUUAUGCAUAACAUCAAGACCGCUUAAGCCCAUUUUGUGGGCACUCGAGCGCUCCUUGUUAAUUUUAGCUUUUCUAAUUUAGCUUCAAGCCCAUUUUGAAUCUAAGUCCACUUUACACCUUAUUCAUGUCAUUAUAUUGUGAACAAGAUAACCCUACUUACCUGAACAAUCAUGUGAAUGAAUAAAAAAUGAUCACAUAUCUUCAAGGCCAGUGCAUACAUAGAGUUGAGUAAAAAAAAUAUUUGGAAUAAAAUUGUUAACUUAAACUAAUUAGUCUAGAUCACUAACACAAAUAAUAUCAAAUUUAGUUAAAAUACAAAUACACCUUCCCAUGAGCAACAUUAUUAUGUUUUACCUUCUUCAUCUUUUACAAGUUUUUAGUUAUAGAAAUAAUGAGAUUAAAAAAUUGAAGGGUAAAUUGCUCCGAUGACUAACUUGAGUGCCUUGGGGCAAUUUUUCUUUGCUUUACAUAUCUCAUAUACCUUAUUAUUGGGAGAUUAUUAAAGAUCGAAUCACAAUAGGACCAAUCCUAAAAUAAAUUCCCCAAAAUCAUUGAUAUUUGAGGCUAUGUAAUUUUUUUGCUCCAACAAGUUCAAUAUUUUGAAUAAGUUUAUCAUACAUGCAUGGAUGUACUUCAUUCUACUACUUGACUAGGGUAGCAAUCAAAAUAGAAGCAAACCUAAAAUCAAUGCUCCAAUAACGUUAAUGUUUGGAGCUUCAUAAUUUUUUUGCUCUAAUAAUUUUGAUAUUUUAGACAAAAUUAUUUUACAUUGAUCGACUUGCUUCUUUAUGUUUAAGUAAAGGGAGAGUUUUUCUUGCCUAAAUCUUGACACUUAAAGAUACUAAUAUUUAUGUUUUGAACAUGAGAUAAGGGACAAAUCACUAUCUUUAACUUGAAUUUAUGUUAAUGCAUGCUUUGAGAACUAAUACGCCAUCUUUCUUUUUUUUUUUAGUAUAAAAGCAUAAAAAGGGAGGAAAUGUAAGCAACUUGAUGUAAUUCUAGCAUUUGGGAUGGAAUGGAGGAGCAAAUAGGCAGCAAGAUGAGCCCUAGUGCUUGCUAAAGUAAAUAAAUAAAUAAUAAAAGCGAAAAGGCAAAAGAAAACUACAAAGGCAUUCUAAAUUGGUUUAGGAGUAGCUAAAAGUGAUUUGGAGAAGCCAAAAUCGAUUUCAAAAGGUUAUUUAAUCAAUGUUAAAACCAAUUUGUGAAUGAGAAUUUUCAUAUUAAUGGAGUCUCACAUCAUAAAAGCGAUUUAAAGGAGGUUGAAAUCGAAAUUCCAAUCUUAGGUUAAAAGUUAAAAUUGGUUUCCAUAUUGAAAUUUUGAUUUUAUCUUGUUGAAAUCAGUUUUUCCAAAAUUUACAGCAUAUGCCAAAUCAAAAUUUCACACUUUGGUUAAUUUGGUAUCAAAAUCUAGAUUUUAGGCAAUUUUGAUGUAAUUUCAACUAAUUAAGUUAUACGUUUGCUAUGGUGGCCAAUGAGAUUAGGCCAAGUGCCUUUUUAGGGUUAAGAUAUUUAUAUUUUCAUUUUUUUUUCAAGGUUACAAAGAGAACAUUUUUACAAUUUUGUUUGUAGUCACACUUUCUAGACUUUUGUUUCUUUCUUUUUAUUAAUAUUCUUUUUUUUUUCUUAUGGAAUUUGGGUGUGAAAUCUCAAUAUAAGAGAUUAAGAUCUUUAAUUUUGGAGAUGUAGCAUGAAGAUACAUGGAAGAUUUGGACAAGGAGCAUAAGAAAAGUAAUGUCAAAUUAAUUGAUCAUUAGGUUUUCAUUUUUACCUUAUUAGAAUGAGAUCAUCUAUGAAAUUAUGGUUAGACUAAGAUCCUAGUGAUACUUCUAAAACCAUUUGAUCACUAGUUAACAUAAUUUGAUAUACUAUCAUGAUUGAAUUGAAAAUUGAUUGUACAAGAUAGAUGAGUGGUACGAAUGUAUAAACAUAAACCUCAAUUAACCAAUCUAUAUUAUUUAUUUUAGUGAAUCAUGUAAAAAGAGUAUAAAUGUCUUAAAAUUCAAUUUGAUCCCAUAUUGACUUUGGUCUUAAACCCUAGAUCUAUGAUUUACUCUCUCUCUCUCUCUCUCUCCUUCUCUUCUUAUGAAUUUGAAGCUAAAUUUUGAAAGCUCCAGAGUUGUUAUCAUAGAUUUGUCUUAAUCAAUUUAAUCUAAAUUCGGUCUUUUUAGAAAAAUUUAUCUAUUAAAUUCACAAUUUUGGGUAUAAGAAUACUUUGUUCAAUACAUAAAUAGUCAAAUGUGUUAGUCUUUAAAGGAUGACAUCUAGAUACCAUACACCAUAACUAUCCUCUCUUUGUUUUUUCUUGGCUAUGAUUUUUAUAAUAAUAAAGAUUUUCGUUCUAAAACAAAGAGUAUCGAUAAAAAAAAAAAAAAGUGUCAUUUUUGUUAGAGAUUGACGACUAUUUUGAAUUGAUAGAUUGUCUUAGUUUUUAGGAGCUUAGAGCUUGUUUUACGACGUGAUUUAAAAAUAUCUUUCUAUUUUUCUAAAAAAAAUGACUUCUAAAAUUUAAUAGCAUUGUUUAGCAAUUGUUCUCUAGAAAUGGUUCAAAAAAAAAAUUAUGAACGUUCUCUUAGAGAACAUAGAGAAAUAAGAAUAAUAAUAAUUAAAAAAAUGAUAAUAUAAGAUUGUGGACCCCGCACUUCUGCACAUGCGUUCCACUCGAUGACGAAACUCAUUGUUUUAUUUGUUUAGUGAAAUUUUGAUUUUUAGAAAAGACUUGGAGUCACCACUUAUUUUUGUUUUAUUUUUAAGGGAAAACAAAAUAAGAAAGAAAACUCUAAGUGUGACUUCUUAUUUGGAAAAGAGGGUCUAUGGAAAACCAAACUUGGGUUUGGGGGUCAAGUUACUUAUUGGGAAGGUAUGGUAAGGACCAUAACAUCCCUCCAAACCCCUAAAAAUGAGUCUCUACUAAAUAAGGUGAAGCAAACGUGGAAAUUGACAAGGAAAUUGUUAGCCCAAGGGUUCUCCUAAUCGGGUUUUGAUGGUAACAAACCAUGGUUAAGUGACUAAUUGGUUUAAAUGUUUAAGAAUCUCAGGUACAAACCCGAAAAUUCAUCAAAGAACCAAAUGGAUAAAAGAUCGAGACGCUUAGAAGACUUGUGAUCAUAGGAAACUAAUGCAAAAUGAAUGCAUGAGUGCACUUAGGAUUUUCAUAUGUUUCAUGCACCUUAGUGAUAACCCGACUCUUGGUAGCUUGGCAUGUAAGGGUAUCAACAAAAUUUAUACCUAACGUCCUUACACUAAAGUAGCAAAGCUACUAUAGCAUAGUGGCUCUAGGAUCGAACACUGGGAAGGGUUUUUACUUUAACUGAUGAAGUUCGGAGGAUGGAGUGAACUUUUCUUAAUAAAGAUUAGGUUAAGAUGAAAACAUAAAAAGAUGAAGGUGUUGUAAACUAAACUAACAUGCAAAUAGGUUAAAAGAUGGGAAAAGAAGUUUCUCAAAGCUUUGGAUAGCCAUGCUUAACUCACCGUGUAAAAAUAGAGAUUUUGGAACUUUUCACCUCGAGUUGGGGAAGCAACUCAGGUGAUGCUUACUUCUCGAACCGGUAUGUGUUUAACAACUGAGUUUUAGUCCUUCAAAACUUACAAAAAGGGUAGCUGAACCUCAUAAAUGCCCUUUUAAUGAUAUAGGUCAUCUCCUCGACUUGCAAUACAAUGGCUCGUAGGAGAUAACUAAUGAACGUCAGUGGAUCUAACAAUAAGAAUCCACUGAGACCAAAAGGUUAUCAAGUAUUGGCCAUUCAAAGCAAGUCAGAGGGAUUAAAAGCUUUACUUUGAAUGAAAACAUUUAUGAUGCUCAACUACUUACAUUUAUGGCUUGGAAAUCUCCAUCCUGACACGGGAGCUUCACAUGGCAUCCAUUACUUCAAGAAACUAAAAGGUUUUAGCCUCUCAUCCUUGGGGAUUUCAUCCUCCAAGGAUGUUUGGCUACUAAGAAAAUAGAAAAUAGUAGAGAGAAAAAGAAAGCAAAAGAUAUUAUGUAUUUAGCUAAGUGUAAAAUUUUACAAAAGAUGGUCCCCUGGAGAAAGUUCCCCCGACCAUCCUAAAAUGAAAAUUACAAAACAAUAUAUAACAGGUUGUUUACCCCUGUAUCCUUGCUUAACAACUAAGGAAUCAUUUAAUUGGUGGAUUACAAGGAGAGAAUUGGGAUUUAGACAACAAAUAUCUGAGGCAAAAUAACAAAAAACGUUGGUCGCAAAUAUCUGGAAGCACUCAGGAGAAUUUCGCAGGCGCACAAAAUGGCUGCGAAAUUUCGCAGAUGAACAAGAUGGCUGCGAAAUCAUUUCGCAGCCGAAGGCUGAUUUCGCAGCCAAAGGCUGAUUUCGCAACCCUGCGAAAUUGGCCUUCAGCUUGGAGUGAUCUGCUUCCAUUGGCUCUAACUUCUUCAUUUCAACUCUAAUUUGCGAACCGUUUGAAGCAUUGGAUUGUUGACUUCCCGAUCUUCGAAACGACAUAAAGCAUGCAUAAAUUGGACUAUAGGAAGUACUCCAAAAGUGGCUGAAAUGACUGUCAUCAAGAAUGCUUCAAGGUAGAUUCUCUCUUUACUUCUCCUCCUUGCAUUCCGGAUUGGUUAUGGCAAAGGACUUUAAGGCUUCAAAGCUCUGAUUCUUCAUGUUCCUGAGCUUUCCAUUGCUUUACCAUGGAUUCCAAAUAACUCUCCUCCAUCUUGGAUUGCUUUGGUGAUCAAAUUACUAACAAAAACACCAAAACUUACACAAAGUGAUUAGAAGUGAUUGCAAAGGUCCUUAAUAUGUUAAUUGGGUUAAAGGGCGAUAAUUACUACUCAAAAGUGUUUAAAAGAGUUAAUUACAAGCUAUCAAAUAGCCCUUUUUGAGUAGUAAUCACUUAGAAAACUCGGUUUAUUCUUUAAAAUGUCGAUUUCAUUAAAACUUGAGUUUUUAACUAAUUUACCUUAGGCAAAAUGUUUCAAAAUUGACUUAAUAAUUUACCUAAAGACCUUGCCUAAGUGUUAGAAAAAAAAAAAAGAAUCAAAAAAUAGGUUUUUCCGGGCCAAAAAGGCUCAACCGGUCGAGGCUAUGGCCAACCGGUCAACUGGUUAAGGAAUCGGUCGAUCGGUUGAGGUUGUCUGGUCGAGGACCGGUCGAGGAAGGUCAAAAACCUUCUCUCUCUCCCAUAGCCUUCUCUUCCCAAUCGAGGUGAUUCCCUUACCGGUCAAGGUCCGGUCAAGGACCGGUCAAGGUCCGGUCAAGGACCGGUCAAGGUCCGGUCGAGGACCGAUCGAGGACCGGUCGAGGACCGAUCGAGGACCGGUCGAGGACCGAUCGAGGACCGGUCGAGGUCCGGUCGAGGACCAGUCGAGGUCCGGUCGGGGAAUCGGUCGACCAGUUGAGGUUGUCUGGUCGAGGACCGGUUGAGGAAGGUCAAAAACCUUCUCUCUCUCCUAGUAGCCUUCUCUUCCCAGUCGAGGUGAUUCCCUUACCUGUCAAGGUCCGGUCAAGGACCGGUCAACGAGGUCCGGUCGAGGACCGAUCGAGGACCGGUCGAGGUCCGGUCGAGGUCCGAUUGAGGCAACGAUAACCUAUCAUGCAUUAAAUGCUCCAACGGCUAGUGAACCGGUCGACCCCCAGCUCAACCGAACGAGGUUGCCUUUUGCUGUUUUUGACUCCCGAGCUUAGAAACCUAUAAAUUGAGAGCUCCACUUCAUUUAUUGAUAAGAUAACACUUGCAUUCAAAGCCCACCUACCUGUUCUUGAUCAAAAAGCUCUCAUUUCUUUCAUAGUGCAUUAAAUUACCACUUACAUAUCCUUUAGUGCACUCUUGUUUGUCAUCCUAGCUUUGUCUUGUAUUUGAGCCAUUUUUAAGCUAGGUUGAGUGAUUAUAUCUUGUAACAAUCCGAGUGUUAAAGUCUUCAAGAGGGUUGAAUCUUGAAGAGGUUGUGUAAGAGCCCAUUGGAUUCGGAAUCCAAGUGUAAGAAGAUUGGAAGCUUGGUUGAAGCUUCAAAUUAGUGGAACCCUCACUCGGUUAGAAGGUUGAAGAGAGUGGACGUAGGCAAGGAAGUGACGAACCACUAUAAACCCAAGUUUGAAUUCUCUAAACUCUAUCUCUUUACUUUGUUCAUAUUUUGUUUAAAUUUGUUGUGAUUGAAAAGAUUUUAAAAACCCAAUUCACCCCCCAUUUUGGGUGUUUUUCUUAACUAAGCAUAGCCUUUGUUUUCUCAUAAAUCAAUAGAUACCAAUAAAAUGAUUGAAUAAUAAAACAAAUCGAGCAUGAGAAUGAAUAAAUAAAUGAAGUAGGAGUGAGAGCGUACCUUAGCAGCAAAUAAUAGUGCACUAUCAUGGAAAAAAUGUUAGCUCAAGUACAAAAUUUAUCGCAUGCAUAUCAAAGAGCAAGACAAAGAUCAAGCAAUAUUCAUUAAGGUGUGGCUCUUAUAAAGGUGCAAAAAGAAGUUUGAUAAGCCCACAAUGCAAACAAAAGAUUCUCUGACCAAUCCCGAGAAGUCUCAAUCAUCCUCUGCAAGAUCCUCUUAAUAUUCUUAUUCACAGCCUCUACCACUUCGUUAGUCUGCGGCCUAUACGCAGAUGAUCUAUGAUGCUGGAUAUCGUAUCUCUGUAAUAAAGUGUCAACAUCUACUCUAAAAUGUACUUCUAUGCUCAAAAUCAGCUCAUGAGGGACUUCAUAGCGACAAAUAAUGUGUGAUAUGAUGAAACUAGCGACCCAAAAUGAUUUCAAUCUCGCAUAUGAAGCAGCCUCCACCCACUUGGUAAAGUAAUCAAUGACGACCAAGAUGAACUCAUGACUACUGGAAGACUUUGGCGAAAUCUUCCCAAUAAUGUUUAUACCCCAUACUGAAAAUGGUCAUGGUGAAUUCAGUGCAUGUAACUCUAAAAAGGGUACGUAGAUAAGGUCUUUAUGAAUCUAGCACUCUCGACAUCUUUAAACAAACUGGCAAUAAUAUUUCAUAGUCAACCAAAAAUAGUCGGUCUUCAUGACCUUACAAGCUAAUAUAUGUCCUCCCAUAUGUGGUCCACAAACUCCCACAUGAACCUCUCUCAUCACUCAAUCGGUAGAGGCGUGGUGAAAGCACAAUAGUAAUAUCCCAUCAACUGAUCGUUUGUACAAUGUCUCCCCACAGAUCACAAACCAGGUGGCUAACUAUCUCAAUGCUCUCUUAUCCUUCGUUGUGGCAACCUCAGGAUAUAUGUCAAGUCUCAAAAACUGAUAUAUGUCAUAGUACCAAGGCAAACCAUCAUCCAACUCUGCCUCAUCAAUCAAGCAACAAUAGGUAGGAACUAAUCUCGACUCAAUCAGUAAAGGGCGAACAAUGGUAUCAGCGGGAAUAUCAAUCAUGGAAGCUAGAGUAGCUAAGGCAUCAACAAACUGGUUUUGUGCUCUAGGCAGAUGAGUAUAACUCAAAUCAUCAAAUCUCCCAACCACUAGCUCUAAGCAUGCAUGGUAAGGCUUAAGUUUCACAUCUUUAGUCUUCCAAUUGCCUUAAAUCUAUCUCAAUACCAGAUUGGAGUCACUAAACACCUCCAUCUGUCUAAUCCCAAGCUUAAGAGUUGUCUCUAAUCCCAAGAUACAAGCCUCAUACUCAACAAUAUUGUUCAUGGCAAGGUGUCGAUCAAAGAAUGCCAAACGAACAAAUCUAGGAAUGUGGUCACCAUGAUGGGAUAUCAGUAGAACACCUAUCUCGUGUCUAGAAUGGUUGGCCGCACCAUCAAAGUACAUGCGCCAACCUGACGAAGUAGUCACUGCAGCAAUAUCCUCAUCUAGAAAGUCAUCAUCAAUAGCUCUACCAUCAGAAAAACUAGUAAUGAGGCUAAGUAAUCUACAACAAUGCUCCAUCUGAUAGACUUUUGAGUGACAUAAUGAAUAUCAAACUCAAUCAAGAGUACCAACCAUCUUAUGAGUCGAUCAAUCAAAGCAAGCCUGUCAAACAAAUAUCUCAGAGGAUCUAGACAAGAUAUCAAGUGCACUAAAUACUCCAUCAUGUAAUGUCUCAAUCUCUUAGUAGCCCAAACCAACGCCAAACAGAAGCGUUCAAUCAUGACAUAUCUUGUCUCAUAAUCAAGCAUCCUCUUACUCAAAUAAUAAAUAGCUCGCUCAUUUCCAGAAUCAUUAAGCUGAGCUAGCAUGCAUCCCAAGGCUAUAUCUGAGACUGACAAGUAUAGGAAUAAGGGACGACCUGGUGUAGGAGGCACCAAGACUAGAGGCGAAAACAAGUACUCCAUGAUCCUCUCAAAUGCACGCUGACACUCAUCAUCCCAAACAAGAGGUCGACUCUUCCUCAAGAGUAAAAAAAUGGGCUCGCAGAUAUCUGUCAAUCUGGCGAUGAAUCUACUGAUGUACUAUAGUCUACCUAAAAAACCUUUGAUCUCUCUCUCAGUUCUCGGCGCAGGCAUGUCAAGGAUGGCUCUAAUCUUAUCUGGAUCUAUUUCUAUGCCUCUCUCACUGACCAUGUAUCCCAGAAGUCACUUAAAAAGUGCACUUCUUAGGAUUCAGUCCUAAUCUGAACUAUCUGAUCAUAUCAAAGAAUCUCUUUAAAGCUACUAGGUGAUCUACUCUAUCUUGGGAUUUCACUAUCAUGUCGUCUAUAUAGACCUCGACAUCCUGAUGCAUCAUGUCAGGGAAAAGGAUAGUCGCUGCUCUUUGAUAAGUAUCUCCUGCAUUCUUCAACCCAAAUGGCAUAAGUAGCAGUAAGUACCCCACUCAGUAAUCAAAGACAUCUUCUCCAUGUCCUUUAGAGCCAUCAUAAUCUGAUUGUACCCAAAAAAUCUGUCCAUAAAGGACAACAUCGAAUGACCUGUUGUACUAUCAACUAGCAUGUCAAUGUGUGGGAGAGAAAAAUCAUCCUUGGGAUUGACCUUGUUGAGAUCUCAGAAAUCAACACACACUCUCACCUUGCCAUUCUUUUUGGGAACAAGGACGACAUUGGCCAACCACUCAGGAUACUCAACCACUGAUAAGAAUCCCACACUAAGUUGCUUCUGAAUUUCUUCUUUCACCUGCAGACUCCAACGAGGAUGCAAUCACCUCAACUUCUGCUUAAUCGGUCUAGCAAGGGGUAGUAGUGGCAAGUAAUGUUGGACUAUGGAUAGAUCAAGGCUAGAUAUGUCCUCAUAAGACUCUACAAGUGAUGUUGGACUAUGAAUGGAUCAAGGCCAGACAUGUCCUCAUAAGACCAUGCAAAGACAUCCAAAUAUGAUAUGAGUAACUGGGCAAGGCCACCACUCUCAUCUGUAAACAAAUCCAAUCCAAUCCUUAGCUCCCUAGGCUGGUCUGUUGUACCAAAAUCAACAAUCUCAGCGUCUCCUGUGGUAGGUGAAACUCUCUGAUCACUAGGACUCAAAUCAAAAGCAGAAGAAGAGUCCGCAUCUGAAUUGUGAUGUACAAUCUCAUCAUCUAUAUCAAAUAUUUGUGAUGUGGGUGAAUGAGGUGCAGAUAAAGUGUUAUCACAAGAAAUAGGCAAAUACUCAAAAAGACUCAUAUCCAUAUAUGAAGAAAGAGUCAGUAGAUCAUCAGAAUGGGAGACAAACCUUGAUAGUAUAUCAAAAGAAAGUGGUGGGUCCACAUGUUUGGACUCUACCAUGACUGGGCUAUUCACACACACAAAUACAUCAUCAUCAACUAUAUCAUCCUCUGAAAACUCCAAAGCAGGAGCAAUCUGGAUCUCCUCAGCAACCUCGAUGGCGGACACCCCAAAUAGAUCAAAUGGAGAAGCAAACUCAGGUUGGACUAUCCCAUCAAUCUGACUCAUACUCAUCGCGAGCAUCUCAUCAAUGUACCUGUCAUGUGGAACAACUCCAUCCACCAUGUCCCUAAUCUCAGCAAAUGUCCCAUGCUCGUCAACCUCAUCCAAGAAAUAGAGUGUCAUGAGGCUCAUAUGAUCUGGAAAUGAUGGGGUGGCUAAUGCAGAAGCAGAAGUGCCAGGAGCUCCAUCACUCAACCGUAGCUGAUGGACAAGACGCUGAAGCUCAACCUCCUGAACAGUGUUGAAUCCAUCAAUAAUCACACUUGAAUGCGUCUAUGGCUUUGACGCCCUCACAAAGUAGUCCGCCAAGCUCAUGUUGCAUGAGCAAAUAGGAUAGUCAAAUGGUGUGUGAGUCAAUCGGGCUUUCACUCUCUCUUUGCUCAAUCACACCAUAUAUCAAUAAUCGGCCUCAAUAGAAAUAAACCCAAAUCCAAAUGGUACAUCACGAUAAAAAAUAGUUAUAAACUCAUUGGGCCCAUGCUAACAUCGCCCUAAUCCCAUGCUCGGUAGAAAAGACAUGCUCCUCAUCAUGUCAAGCACCAUUGUACUACCGUGUUGAUCAAAUGACAUAGCCAUAAAGUCCCUACAAAAAUCCUCAAUCUCCAGAGUCUACACCUCAUCAAAUGUGAACCCAGUAAAAAACAAAUCAUCCUCAUUGUGACUAAUCUGAAGCAUUGGCUUGGAAGAAGCAAACAUAUCUCCAAUGGACCGCACUAUGAUGACCUGGCCAUCAUGAAUGAACUUCACCUUCUGAUGAAGGAAAGAAGGAAUGGCCCCAGCACUAUCAAUCCAAGGUCGGCCAAUAGUAGGUUAAAAGAUGUAGAAAUCCUCAAAACCUGGAACAGAAUAGGAAAUGUAGUUGGACCUAUCAAUAGCUUGAUCUCCAAAGUGCCCAUGACCUCCCUCUUAAUGCUAUCAUAUGCUCUGACUUUCUGAGUAGAGGGACCAAAGUUUGAGGAUGCAUAGCCGAGGGCAAUGACAUAAGCUAAGGGACAGACGUUCAGGGUUGGGUCAUCGUCCAAAAUGACAUAUAGGACUCGGUGGCCUAAAAAACCAACUAAGAUGUAUAGAGGACAUGUAUGGUCUGAACCCUCGGGUGGCAAAUCAUCAUCUAAAAAUAUAAUACAAGUGGCUCUGCCAACCGUCAUCAUGUGAAUCAACCCCUCGAGAAUAGUGGUAGUCUCGACUCUAAUCUAACUCAAGGCUCAAAUCAAUGCAUUUUUAUGAGUGCUAGAAGAUGCCAAUAAGCUCUAAAUAGAUAUACAAGUCUGGGUACUCUACAACUGUCUCAGAAUAUCAUCAUCAUCUCUCUUGACCUCCUCAUGAGAGGCUGCACCCUCCAAGGGUCUAGCGGUUGUGAGGGGUUGUUGUCAUACUACCUUACCUCUGUGAAUAACAUAUUGUAUAUCUGGAGUAUGAACAUCAUCAACAUAUGGAGUAUGUACCUCAUCAACGUCUGGAAUCAAAACAAACGGAGUCUGAACACUAUAACAUGGAAAAAUCAAUGGCUCGACUAUAGUCGACUGUAUUGAUGUCACAUCGGGAACCAAUUUGAAUAGUGUGGGCAUCCAUGGGCCCAAGGUCAUUCUACUUACCUCAUAAAUCCCAUCUACUACUAUAGGCUCUAGCACUGACUCAUCCCAACUCAGCAUGUGGAUAUGAUCAUAUGGCUUAGUGAAAUCCAUGAAAUGUAUACCGUUGGUUGGUAGAGAGACUGCAUGUGAAGUAUAAGCUGACAGAGGGUUAGUGGUUACACUUGGCUGACCCAAGUGAACCAAACCCUGAUCUAUCAAGUCCUCGAUGGCGUGCCUCAAAGCAGUGCAAUGGUCCGUGUCAUGCCCUAGACCUUGAUGGUAAGAACAAUAUAAAUCCAUCCUGAAGAGAGGUGGCAUGAGUUGAGGUAUAUGUCGAGGAGCUAACUGAGUUAACAAACCACCCUCCAUGAGCUUUUAGAAAGCUCGGUUCAAAGGCAUACCUAGUUGGGAGAACUAUUGUGUCAACCUUUGUACAAAAGAAAUAAUAGUCUAUGGGGCUCGGGGCUGAGGGUAUAAAGUAGGAGGCCUAUCUAUGACAUGUGCAGCAAAAACAGGUUGUGAGACCAGAUGUAGAUAAGUAUGAGUCAUAGGUUUGGAGGAAACAGGUGGCCUAUACUGUACAUGAGGUGGUGGUGGGUAGUAGAAUCCAGAAGGCUGCCCAACUGUCUGAUAGCACUCACAUCUUUUAGUCUCUGUCCUCCUAAAGGCUUCUUUCCCUAAGAGUCAGUAGGGGAAGACUCGGACCAUAAUCCUCUAGUUAUGUCCUCCUCUAUACCAUAUAAAUCCUGUACCAAAGAUCCAAAAUCCGUAUGAGGAAAUCCCAUCAAGUGCCUAGCAAAUCAAGGCUGCAAGCUCCUCGUGAUCAUACUAAUCUAAUCAUUCUCUGAAGGAUGAUCAAUAACCUAUGAAAUCUUCUCUCUUUAGCGGGAGAUAAAUGAGGUGACCGACUUCUCUAGCCUUUAUCUCAAAGCCUCUAACUCUCUCCUCGAAACAUCAAUGACAAUGUUAAAUGCAAACUGUCUCAAGAACUUCUAGGCCAAAUCAUCCCAAGUCCGGCGGCAUGAUACAUCCAAUGAAGCAAACCAACGUUAUGCCACACCACUCAGGGAUAUAGGAAAAAACAUAACCAUCUAGGCCUCAUCCAGUCCAUGGGCCCUCAUAACCGUACUAUAAAGCCUCAAAUGGAUGCGAGGAAAGCCAAUGUCCGUGUAUCUCUCAAUCUUAGACAUCCUAAACUUGGUUGAUAAACUGGCCACUGGUGCUCCAUUAAAAUCCUCCCAAGUAAUAGCUUCAUCUGAAGUCUUCAUCUGUCUCAUCCUCCGCUCAAGUCUAUCCAUACGAGCAUGUGGGUCCUCUGAGAUCGGGGUAGGCACUAUGACAGGAAGCAAGGCAACCUCAGUCUGACUCUAUAAAGUAAAUGAUAUAGGUUGUGAAACUAUCUAACCAAGUGGGAGAAGUGGCGGAAUAGUGGGAUCAUACUGCACACUCUCCUGAACUAGAACCUUUUGGGUUUGCUACCCAUCCAUCAUUUGAUCAAGACUAGUUAUGGCCUCCUGGAUCGAAGCCAUAGCAGCAACGAACUAAUCAAAUGUAACCACCUACGAAUCCAUAUCUGCCUAAUCUAACUGGUCUGACACUCUGAUCAAUCUACCUUUAACUCUGAUCUAAGAAGUUGAACUCAUAUCAAACAUAUCAAUACACCUACAAUAGUGGAAAUACUAGAUAAGAUAUUGUGUAAGGGAAACUCUACAAGGAGUGUUUAUCAACUAUGCAGGAAGGUAACCUGGAAGUAUUGAAACUGAUAUCUAAUUCUGAGCAAAUAUAUAAGAGACUACUACGAAGGUAACUAAAUUUAUCACUACUGACCCAGCUCUGAAGGCCCAUAGAUGCACCCACGUGUGGGAAAGGAAAUUCUGAUCGAAUAAUCUAAGGCUCAACCUAUAAGGUCAAGGUGGCUCUAAAAAAAAAAAAAGAUGGACUUUAAAGGAUCCAUAGCAGAAGCGAUCAUACCCUUCGACGGUAUGCAACCCUUUGCACGCCUUUGAAAAGACGAGGCUCUUCCAUGCAAGAUGGUCAUCACCUCUACACAUGCACUACCUCGACAUCCUAAGGGUAUUUGCUAUAGUGAAAGCUCUCACAACUCUCAGCACUCAGUAGUCAACUAAAGUGCAUAGUGAGUGGUGCAGGUGCAUCCGAAAAACCUAUGAAGCUAAAGUAGAAAAAAAAAUACAUUAGUCACACAAAUAUCCAUGAAACCUAGCUCUAGGCUAUUCAGGUCUUCAAAGAUCGGACUCCAAUCAACAUCAAUGUGUCGACCUCCUCAAGAAUGCUCCUAAACAUCAAUAUAGCCCAUCACUAGACCUUACUCCUAACCACUAGCUCGGUCAUAGAAACAAGUACACACAAGGCCUCACACUUGCAAAUAUAAGAACCAAAAUGAAGGAAAUGACCGAAACCAAAGGGUUGGAGGUAAGGGGAUAGAUGUGUGAUCCACACGGACAACCAACAUACAAUCACAUAGGAGAAGAUUAGUUAUGCAACAAGCAGUCAAGCAGAGCGCAAGUAUAUCAUCCAUGUCCAUACACAAGCCAAACAAAAAUAUGACAAUCAAAAUGACUAGCAACAAGGAUAGCAUGCUCAAAUAUAAUCAAGAUAACAUACAAGCAAGAUAAUCAACACUAAGACAAAUAAAAGAUGCAGCAAAGUGAACAUACAUGUCAAAGUAAGUAGGAUAAUCAAGGCAAGAGCAAGAUCGAUCAAUACCAUCAACAUGCCAAUGUUGCAAAGGGAUAUAACAAUUAAGCAUAGAAAAUCGUUGCAUCAAAAUCCUCAAUGUGCUAUGAUCACUCAAGCAUUGAAAAUUGUAAUUUUGAAAAAUUAUUUGAAAAUUGGAGUUUUGAAAAUUAAAUUUAAAAAUUAGAAUUUUGGAAAAUUAAAUUUAAGAAUUAGAAUUUUGGAAAUUGAAUUUGAAAGAAAUUGGAGUUUUGAAAAUUAAUUGAGAAUUGGAGUUUUGAAAGUUAGUUUUAAGAAUUGGAGUUUUGAAAAUUAAUUUUGAAAGAAAUUGGGGUUUUGAAAAUUAAUUGAAAAUCGGAGUUUUAAAAAUUAAAUUUAAGAAUUGGAGUUUUGAAAAUUAAUUUUGAAAGAAAUUGGAGUUUUGAAAAUUAAUUGAGAAUUGGAGUUUUGAAAAUUAGUUUUAAGAAUUAGAGUUUUGGAAAUUAAAUUUAAGAAUUUGAAUUUUGGAAAUUAAAUUUGAAAGAAAUUGGAAUUUUGAAAAUUAUUUGAAAAUGGAAGUUUUAAAAAUUAAAUUUGAAAAUCGGAAUUUCAAAAAAUUAUUUGAAAAUUACAUUUAAGAAUUGGAAUUUUUUUAAAAUAGAAGUUUUGAAAAUUAAAUAUGAAAAUCGGAAUUUCGAAAAAUUAUUUGAGAAUGGAAUUUUUAAAAGAUCAAUUUUGUUAACAUAAAAAGAUGGAUUAGGAGGGUGACAUGUUAGGCUUGGGAUUUGGGUCUAAUAGAUAGGCUUUGAUAGAGGUUUUGCAAAGGUGGCCAUACAGGAGUUAUUCACAUGCUUAUGAAUGGUGGGGGAAGAAAACUCAGACCAGAUUUGAAAAUAAGAACAUAAAUAUGAUCUCCAAUGCAUAAAAUAGCUUAAAUUAAAUCAAAUUAUUCCCAAGCCAAAAGCCAAAGUAUAAAUAAAUAAACCAACAACAGCACACCUAUGAAUGGCUCAGAAAUCCAAUAAAUUCAAACACAUAACCUAAUGUUCAUGCUUAGCAAACAAUCCACAAAAAAGAAAAUAACAAAAAGGAAGAAGAGCAUAUUAUGGUGAAGCAGAAUCAAACCUAAGCAAGUCCUCUCACUCUUUCUGUUUUUCUCUCUUAGAUACCGACUCUCUGUUUUUUCUUUUUUUCACUCAAGCUCUCUUCCUCAAGCUCCGUUUUCAGCUUGUUUUUCUUCCCCUUCCAACUUUAAAAAAAAACCUCUCCUUGCUCCUCUUUCUUCCUCCCAACGGCCACCUCUUGCUCUUGCUAAAAAAACCUCAUUUUCCUAUCUCCACACCAGCUCAUUUUUCUUCUCAAAACGUCUCCUGUUUUUUGUCCAGCUCUCAAAACCCCCACCUGUUGAUAACCUCUCCAAUCCGGCUCCCCCUCUCCAUCCCUUUUUUUUUUUUUCUCUUCAAUCCUCCCCUCCAAGCUUCAGUUUUUCUCUAAAAAAAAAACCAUCCUCUCCUAGUCUCAUCUUCCCUCUUAAAAACAGCUCACCCAUGGACAACCUCUCCAUUUUUCUCUCCCGUUAGCUUCCACCAGCUCUCUGCUUCCUGUCCACUCCUCUAUUUUUCAUUCAGAAAAAGUCUCAUCUCAACCACCACCAUGGCAAGGUGGUGGUGUGUUCUUGCCACACAUCCCAUGCAACUUUGAGCACUCGUGAAAAGGUCGUCCCCCACUUUUCCAAAAAAAAAGCCCAGCUCACUGUAGCCAAAUAUGGGUCUACAAAUAUGAUUAUUUUAUUCUUUCAUUUAUUUUCCACCAAUCAAUACCGAAAAUCUUAAAAUAUAAUCAUUUUCUUAAUUACAUGUGGUUUUUAUAUUUUCUUUAAUUUCUCUAAAUUUUGUCAUUAGGAAAAUAAAUUCUAAAUUAAAUAGUAUUUAAUACGUAUGAUUUAGUAAUGUUUUAAAAUGAUUUGAAACUAAAAAUUUAUGUAAUUAGUAUUAAAAAUCAUGAAACUAAUAAUCAAUCUAGGUAAUAUUAGAAAUUUACAAAACAAAAUUCAUUAUAUAUGCCUUCACUAGUUUAUGUUUUUAUACAUAAUCAUAAUUUUGUGAAUUUUUUCACUAGACAAAUAGACUUCAAGUAAGCAAAACUUAAUCUAUUAGAUUCAUGAAUGAAUCUAAUAAAUUUUAAACAUAAUUUGAAACUCAAAUAGUAAACCAAUUCAUACCAUAAAUUUAUGGAUAAAAGUUAAUCAAGAAUAACUCUAUUAGUUCUCUUUUAUGUAGAAUCAUAUUUUUCCAAAAUUUGCUCACCAGAAAAAUGGAUUUCAAGUGAAACAAGACUUAAUACGUUAGAUUUAUUAACAAGUCUAUUAAUUCAAAAAUAUUUAAAAAUAAAAAAUAAAACAAUUAUUAAUAUAAGUUGACAAACUAAAAUUGUUCCAAAAUGACUCUCCUCUACACAUAUCUAUAUUAUUUUAAAAUUUGUUAUUAAGCAAAUAGAUUUAAAAUCAAGCAAGACUUAAAAUGUUGAAUUUAUUAAUGAAUUUAAUUGUUUUUAAAAUAAUUUGAAACUUGAAAAUAGAUAAAAUCACUACCAAAAAUAAUAGAUCAAAACUAGUACAUAAUGAGUCAUAGCUUUAUUGCUCUUUAUAUGUACACAACUAUAUUUUACGAGUUUUAUCACUAAGUAAAUAGAUUUUAAAUUAUGUGAGACUUAAAACUUUAAAUUCUUUAAUGAACCUUCUAAAUUUUAAGGAUAAUUUGAAAUCUAAAAAUUUGAUCAAAUUAAUUAUAUACUAAAUCAAAACUUGUCCAAAAUAGGUCCAUGCUAAAAUACUAAAUAUGUACAUGCAACGGUUUUAAAUAGAAUAUUAUUAACCAUUAUUAUUUUUUAAUUAUUAUUUUUUUAAAAGAAAAAUUAUUAUGCUUUUAUGAAGGUAUUAAUCUCUAUAUUUUUAUAAUAUAUAAUGAAAUAGUAUUAGUUUUUUUAAUAAACAAAAUAUAAUUUAUGAUCUUAAUAUUAGUUUUCAUAUUUUACGAAAAAAAUAUUUAUUUUAAAAUUUUAUUUGUAAUUAAAAAAUUAUUUUUAUUUUUAAUAAGACUUGAAUUAACUUGAAUUAAUAUUAUAAUUGAAUUUAUAAUUUUUUUCUAAAAUCAAAGCAUAAAAACUAUUUAUAAAAACAACUUAUUUAGAUAAGGUUUUUUUUUAUUUCUUUGAAAAGUGUUUUUAAAAGAUAACUUGCCAAAUAGUCUUGUCUUUCGAAAAUAUACAAAAUAAAAUAAAAUAAAUUAUUUUUGUUCUUUAACUUAAAAACUGUUAUUAAAAACAAGUAUAAGAAAAUAUUAUCAAAGUGAGCCGUUAGUUUUUAGUAAUUAGUUAUUUUUGACAAAGUUUAGUGUUUCCACAUUCAGAAAGUUUAAACUAAUUUGUUUUCAUUUUAGUUUAAUAUUCUCAUUAGCUGUUCUUUUCUUUUUUUACCUUAGAAUUUCUCCAAUUUUAUGCUUAGUAGGUAAAUAGAUUUUGCAGGUAGACUCCAAUGAAUUAAUCAACCAAUUCAACCUAUGGUAGAAAACAAUUAAGGUCAAAACAACAAUAACAAUCGACCUAUGAUGUCUUCCAUGAAUACAGAUCAAUGGGAGAGCAUUUGAACCCUCCUCAUCUUAGUACACCUUCAUGCUUCAUCAUGUCGUAGGAUCAUGUGACCAUCAAGCCUCAAUUGGUGCCUUUACUCUUGAUCUUCAAAGACAAUGGAAAUGAAAACCCUCACACCAAUAUCAAGGAUGUCAAAGAAAUUUGCUUCACCUUUCAAGAAGCAAACAUGCCUCUAGAUGCGUUAAUAAGAAUAAAGCUUUUUCCACUUACGUUGAUAGAUCGAGCAAAAACAUGGUUGAACACCCUUGGACCACAAGGCAUUGGGACCUAGAAUAGGUUGCAAUUGAUCUUCCUUAAAAUUUGUUCCUACCACACAAGACUAAUGCAUUGAAAAGGGAAAUGUCAAAUUUUACAACCUGGGAAAACAAUAAAUUUUUCUCAUGUUAAGAGCACUUUAAAUGGAUUUUCAAAGCAUGCCCACAUCAUGUCUUUGAUAAUUACAAGUUGAUUUUCAAAGCAAUGUUAGAGACGAUGUGCGGAGGAAAUUUCAUAAGAGUCUAGAUAAAACUCCUUCAAUUUCUAGAUUAUGUGGUUGAAGCAACAAAGAGUUAGAUAGAUCAUGUGAUUAAGGAAUCACAAAGAAUGCAAAGUUCCAAAAAAAUUGAAAGUUUGUGAUAUCUUCAACUUGUUUGAAAGCAUGGAUUUUCAAUUAAAUAUUUCUACCUUAACUAGGAGAUUAGAAGACUUGGAGACCAAAGGAGUCUAAGAGGUCAAAGCAAUGAAUAAGUUAAGAGUGAUGAGAUGUUUGAUAUGCUAGUUAAAGGAGCACAAGGUUACAAGUUGUCCAACACUUCUAGUAGUGAGGCACAUGUUAUCAAAGUUGGCCAACACUUUUGAUUCAUUCAGAUAGAAUAGUAAAACUCUCCAUUCUCCAACACCUAUAAUCUAGGUUAGAUUAAUCAUCUUAACUUAUCUUGGAGAUGGAGUAGUCAAUUUCGUUAGCAAAAUCAUGCUAUGAACCAACAUUCAAAAUGCUUAAUAUCCCUAAUUAAUGAAAAUAAAUUACACACAAUAGAUAAGUUGUGAUUACUCAAUACAAGGUUGGGUGAUAGUUGUAUUUUCCAACACAUAAUGAUGUAAUUGCAAUAACAAUUUAUGGUCGAUAGUGGCCACACAAGCCCCAAGUAAAGGCUUCCCACCUUUGCAUUCAUCAUUCCCAACAUUAGGAAUUCUAAUUGCAUCUAUGCCUAAUACGUACUCUAUGCAAAACUCUAAAGCUUCCUUUGUAUCAUGGCAUUCAACAAAACAUCCCUCUCAGCAAUUAUGAUUUUGUACAUAACCCUUUAAUACCUUCAUAACCUUUCAAAAGAAUACAUCCAUCUAAGGUAAACUGGCCUACAUGAUCUCGUUUUUCUUGUCAAGUGCAUUAUUUAAUGAAGCAUAAUGUCAAAAAAUGAAGGUGGAAUUUUUUUUUCAAGUAAGCAUAAUAUCACCACCAACUCAUCUUAUAGUCUAUCUAAUUUAAACACAUAGACUACUUUGCUACAUGAGGCAUUGAAAAAUAAGCAUAAUCUAGAUAUAGUGUUUCACAUGUUUAAGUAGAAUAUAUUGUAAUUCUACUAGUAAUAUGUUGCAUGAGUGCAUGAUAAUCAUGGGAUUUAAGACCAUAAAGCUUCAAAUUUUCCAUUGACACAAGUUUUAUGAAGUUAGAGGACUAUCCUUCAAGGACUUUCAAGUCAACUAAGGUUUGAUAUACCACUUUUUUCUCUAUCCUAGAAAGUGUGUAGCAUGUAGGUGGGAGGCAAGUCUACUUUAAGUCAAAUUUUGGUGCCAAUUCAAACCUUAUGCCCAUCUCCAUAAGAUCCAACCCAAAAUUGAGUUCAUCUUUUAUUUUCCUGGAAUGUUAAGCAAGGUGCCAAUGAUGCUUUCGCACACAUUUUUCUCAAUUUGCAUAACAUCUAAUUUGUAAUCGACAUACAAAUGUUUCCAAUAUUCUAGAUCAAAGAAUAUGGGCUUCUUUUUCCAACAAAUUGUAGUAUUCACAUUAGAAGUACUUGCUUUAACCUUCUUUUUUCCCCAUGAUUAAAAAUGGAAUCAACUUCUUCUAGUAUUUCCUCUCUAGUUAAUGGUUAUGGAGGUAGCCCAAACUCUUGCUAACCAUUGAAUGCCUUCUUUUGUUUCCUAUAAGGAUGGUUAUAUGGAAGAAACCAUCUAUAACCUAUAAACAAGUUCUUCUUCCCAUGUUUCGAUCUACAAGAAUAUGUUUCUUUCCCACAUAUUGGUAAGCAUAAUGUCCCUUAACAUGAACAACUCUCGUUAAUGUGCAUCAUAUACUUUGACUCUUACCUCCCAAAGAGUUUUAAGAGCUUCCACCAAUAGUGCCAAGUAAACAUCUAUGUCAUUUCCAGGUUAUCAUGGAUUUGAUAUCAAUAAUGAUAACAUCAUAAAUUUCUAUUUCAUGCACAACCAUGGUGGAAGGUUAUAUGCGAUCAUUAUAUAUAAUUGACUAAAUACUAUGACAACUACUAAGAGAAUUGUGAGGAUUUAUGCCAUCUAUUAAAAUAGUAAGUCUAAGUUUUCUAGUCUUAGAAACAAACCUGGGCCAUAAAUGGUCAACUAGCUUCCAUGAUGGAGAAUCAAAUGGGUAAUGCAAAUUCCCAUCAAAAUUUCUUUCUUGGGCAUGCCAUGUGAGAUUUUUUUUACUAUUUGUGAGGAUUGGAAUGUUUUUUUAAACCUUGAGAUAGGUGGAAAAUACCACAAGACUUUUGCAGGAACACUUAUUCUCCUUUUGUUUCCUUUUUUACUUACCUUCUACCUUGAUGUUCCACAAGUACAACAUAAUGAUACAUUUUUAUGCUUAUUUCUAUAAAGAUAACAAUCAUUAGGGCAAACAUGUAUUUUUUCAUAUUCCAUUCUCAAUGCAUUUAAGGUUUUUUUUUUUUUUUUUUUUGCUUCAUACAUGCAUUUCAUUGUUGAUUGGGAGUGUAUCACUUAACAUUUGAAGUAACUCUAAAAAAAUUUUGUCAAACCACACAUAUCUUACUAUCAAGUUAUACAAUUUUACCAAUGCAGAUAACUUUAUAAACUUUGAACAAGCAAGAUAUAAAGGUUUUUUAGCAUCUUCAAGUAGUCUUUUAAAUGAUUAGGGAUCCUUCAUAUAAUCAUCUUGUGCAGCAUAGACCAUCUAAAUGGUAUUGUCUAAAUCAUCACAAUUAAGUUGAUCAUAAUGAUAUCCUUCACAGUUGUUGCUUCCUUACUAAGAACUACCUCUCCAUGCUAAUACCGUGUGCAGUAACUUUGAUUAAUUCCAUUGAAAUAUAAGUGUUCUCUAAUCACUUGAGGAGUAUGGUUCAUUAAGUUGCUAUAAUGUAGGCAUGGACAUCUAAUAUAGUUCAAAUCUCUAGCAUUUAGACUUAUAAAUUGAAUAAAGCUGUCAACCCCUUCUUCAUACUCUUGUGAUCUUCUAUCCUUAGACUACAUCCAAGAUCAAUCCAUUUUUGGGUUGAUUCAACUAAAUUCCUAUAUAACACAAGUUGCAUGAUUUAUUAAUUAUUAAUUCCUAAACCAAACAAGGAUAUAAAUUGAGCUAUACAACUAAUAAAUAAAGUAUUAAAACACGAAAUAGCAUCAUAAUUGUACCUAUAUUAUAGCACAUGCAACCACCUACAUAUGUUCAAUCUUAAACACUUAAUGUUACUUCAUUCAAUAUAAAUUAAAUAAAUGCAUAACUUCAUUUAUUAGCAUGCAAUAAAUUAUCAAUAGAAUGUAUGGGGAUAAUACCCUAAUUAGUAUUAGUGAUAAAUCAUAUCCCAUGAUAAUCCAUUAUGUAAUAUAAAUACUAAAACAAGAUAGGAAGACUAAGAACUUAACUAAUUUAGCAUCAUACAACUAAAUCUAAAGUACCCAAUUUUAUUGUGUUCACUAAAAGAAAGAAGUAGUAGAAAAUUAAUUUACUUUGCAAUUCUAUAUGAUCCAAGUGUAUAUAGUAUAUCAAAUCCUCAAGUAUGAACUCUCACUACAAGAAAUAAGUUUUUAUUAGUUGGAUUCUCAAAAUUAAGAUACUAUUAAUGUAUAUAGAUUCCAUGAAAAUGCUUGUCUUCACAAGGUUGGAAUUUCUAUCCCAUCUAAGAAUUGUAUGUUUUUAAAAUAUUACACAAAGAAGCAAAAUUUAAAAUUGUCAUGAAAAUUUCAACAACAUUUCUCUCCUAUUCUCGUAGAUGAGCCCAAAUUCUCAAUGAAAAUCCUUAAUCAUGUUUUUUAAGUAACUUUGUAAAUUUGGAAUGGCUAAAUGCAGUUUCUAUAUUUUUAUCUACUAGAAGCCUUAAGUUAUAAAAUUGAACUAAUAAAUGGGUUAGGUCAUGAUUGGGAAGCUUGUUUUAGAUCUACCAUCUAUAUUAUUUUAUUUUAAUGGAGCCCAAACUAAAUAGGGAACCCAACCAUCUACCACAAUACCAUGUCAUUUUACUAAUAUGGCCUUUGUUUAUUGGUCAAAUUGGGUCCUAUUUGUUUGUACAAAUUGACACUGUAUGUGGAGUGCAGUGUUCAAUAGUUGGUGAUCCAUUUCAUAAUUUUAAAAUAAAGAAUUUGUUUGUUGAUAAAACAACAACCAUCCACCACCCAUUCAACUAACAAGAUUUAAGAUUAUUGUUUCUUUCCUAUGGGUGAUAAUAAAAAUAAAAAAAUUAAGCCCUAAUACAAUGAAAAUAGAAAAAAAAAAAUUGAAUAGUUUGAUUUUAAGAAAUUAUUAAACAAAAUGAUGAAAAUUGCUAUUGGAAUUCACCAAUUAAUCAAUUCUUCAACUACCACAAUGAUUCCCAAACAAUAGACAAAUCCUAAGUCUAAAGGUACCGUUAUGUCAUCUAAAAAUCCAAAAUAUUUAUCCAAACCUAAACUCUAAAACCCAAUGUGUUUCAAACCUCAUCUUAGUAGGAUUUUUUUUUUAAACAUUAUUUUAAAAAAUUAUAAUUAAAGCAUUGUUGUUUAAAAAAUAAAUAAAAAAAUACAACACUUUUCAUCACUUGUUUUAUUUUUGCACUAAACUCGUAUUUGUUCAAGAGGCGAAAUCACUUUUUAUAUUGAAUUGAAAGACGAGUUCACUUUUCACCUUAAAUUUUUCUAUACAGAACUUGCUUUUUCAAAAGAUAAGUUCACUUUUCCAAUGUUGAACUCGUCUUUUGAAAAAUACAACUUCACUUGAAAUCUAAAAAUGUGAUAGUUUAAAAAAAAAUAAAAAAAAAUUGGUGGUACAACCUUUUAAAAAAGUACACUACUCUUGUAGAAAGGCCUAUCUCAAUACUCCUUUGACUACUAGACUCAAUAGAGUGUGACUUGGUAUAUCAUUUUACAUGCAAUGUUAGAUUUAUUUUUUUUAUUUUUUUUUGGUUUUCAUAUUCUCAUAAACCAAAAAUGGAAACUAAUGAAUAAAAAUAAAAAUUAAAGAAAAAAAAAAAGCAUUUAAAAUAUAUAUCAAGAAAGAAAGAUAUUGAUCACCUAUUUCUUUCAACAUAAGUUCCUCUAAGUAAAAUGAUAAGGUUGCCACUAUGGUUUAAUCUCAGGAGGUUUAAGAGCACACAUCUUCAAUACGGGAAGGUUUGAGAGCACAUCUUUAAUAGGGGAAGGUUUGAGAGCACAUCUUCAAUAGGAGGAGGUUUGGGAACACAUCUUUGGUGGGAAAAUAAGAUUGAUAACUUCUUCUUUUUUAAAUAUAUACUGCUAUUAAAAAUGUGAGGUGUUUGUCAAUUUUUUCAUUCCAAAAAUGUCUGACAACUUACCUUUUAAUUCUAAAAAUACUUCUCAUCAAUUUAUUAAUAACAAUAUAUUAAUAUUUAAUAUUACAAAAUGUAUUCUAUUAUCAUAAUCUAUUAGUAUCAAAUGACAUUAUACAUUUUAUUCUCUUUAGAACCUAUAAUAUUCUUUGACUCUUGAUGAUGUGCCUAAGCCCCAUAUUUUCAAUGCCCACAUAAGCCUUUUCUAUCAUUUUCUCCUCUCCAUGGUCACAACAGCUUCUUCUUCAAGCUUUUAGAUUUUUCUUUGCAAAAUUGCCAUCGUAACAUUCCUCUUCGCCACAAAUGGCAGUCGAUUCAAGACUAUGUCUAGAGUUAUGGUCAUGGUUCUGGAAGGUUUGGAUUGAUGAAAGUGUUAUGUUAGGGACAAGAGAGAGCUUCAAUGAAAUGUAAUGUUUUGGGGAAAGCUAAGAAUGACAAUGGUGGCAAAGAAGGUGUUCCUGAAAAGAAGAAACAGUUUGUGUGGUGGUUUCAGGAGGGGUGGUUGUAUUUUCACAUUCAUAGGAGUGACACAUUUGUUGUCAAUUCUUACUUGGAACCCAUACUGAAGGCACAUUUUCUAUGAAUUUCUUUUCCCCUGUUAAUUUAGUUUGGAUGAAUAAACUGUUAUUGUGUUUCAUAAAAGCAAUAUGGAGGGUUGGUUUGGAUAGUGGUGAUACUCCACAUUCAGAUAUGUUUUCCUUUUGUAUUUUGGAAACUAAUGAAUCAUAACAUGCUUAUUGGUGAAAGGAGAUUGUUGUUUAUCCCCUAUUUGUUUAUAGAGAAUGAAUUGUGUUUGUGGAGUUGACAAUUGAAGAUGUUGACUGUGAUUUAAAUCCAAAAAGUUUUAGAGAAUUGGUCAAAUAAAUCUCUGAUAAAUAUAUUUUUUUAAUGAAUUUACAACUCUUAUCUAAGUAAUUUAUCGCAUUGAUGGUAUCUAUGUAUAUCAAUUAUUUGUGUUCUAAUUUAUUGUGAUUCUAUCUCUUGUGUUAUUAAUCAUUUAGGUUAUUGGAUUUUAACAUUUUGAUUUUUAUCAUUUCCCAUAUUUUUAAUUCAUUGCAUUUUUGUUCAUUGUGAAUGUUAUUUAUUUAUUAUUUUAGCACUCAUUGGGUUUUUUGUGAACACAAUUAGGUCAACUGUUGUUGCCAUUAGUGUUUUUGAUGAUUUUGCUUACAUGUUUAUUAGGGAAAUAUUAGAAUUCAAGGUGUUUGGUACAUUUGAGAGGUAAUCCAAUUUAGUAUUAGAGUAUACCUUUUUUUUUUAUGAAUCCUGACUUUUUUUUUAUUGGGAUCAAAAUUUGUUACUUACUCUAGAAAUUUAGUAUUUUUGUAAAUACUUUUAAUUUGUCUAAUUAUAUUUUUUUAUAAGUAUUUAUAACUUAAAGGUUUUACUAAAAAGAAAAUGAAGUUAGUAGUUUUAAAUUGAAAUUAGUCUUAUUUCUUAAGGUUUUUUUCCUUUUUCAUUUUUAGCUUAAUUGAAUCUAGAACUUUCUUGUAAAUUAUAAUUCUAAAAGGAGUUUUAAUUACAACCUAUUAAUAUUUAAUGUUACCAAAAUCUAUUAAUUAUUCCCUUUAAAAUCACCCUAUAACAUUAUAAAAUAUUAUAAUUAAUACAUCAUCUAAUCAACAAUUAAGAAUUACCCCUUCACUCUUCAAAUUUCUUAUGAUGACAGUUUCACUUUUCAUUUCUAAAGUUUGAAAACUUUUUAAAUUUCUGAUAACUUUUUCCUCUUUGAAGAGAAUUAAGAAGUUUUUGUAAAUUGGCACUCCCAAUUUGAAUGAAGUGCUAUUUGGUGAGUUGUUAUUUAGUGUUCUGAAUGAUUUUACUUAAAUGUUUGUGUUACUUAUGAGAAUAAUUUGAUUACUUUGUUGAAUUUUAUUUUUAUGAUUUUGAGCUUUUUAAAACAAUACUCAAUUCUUUGAGUUUGUUGGAUGUGAGUUGGAAGAAAAUUGAAAUUUAAGGUAAUUGGUAAAUUUGAGAGGUAACUAAAUUUAGUAUUCAAGUAUACAUUUUUUUGUAAUGAAUUUUAAUUCUUUAUUUUAUAAUUCAAUGUUUAUUAGAAUUGAAGUUUGCUACUUAUUAUAUAAAUUUAGUAUUUUUGUAAAUACUUUUAAUUUUUAUUAUUUUUAGACAAGUAUUCACAAGUUAAAUCUUUUAAUAAAAAAAAUAAAGUUAAUUGUUUCAAUUGAAAUUUGGGUAAAUGUUUCUAGAGUAUGUUUUUCUUCAUUUUUUGUCUUAUUGGAUCUUAAUUUUAGAAUAAUUAGAACUCUCUAAAAAAUAAAAUCCAUAUUUUUUUUAAUAUAAAUUACCAUUCUAGAGCUAAAUGCAUUUCCUUAUUUUAUAAUUCAAUGUCCAAUAAUAUGCAUAGGAAUUGGACAAUAUAGUUUUUUGUUUUAUAAUCCAAUAUCUAUAAUAAUUGGAAACUAUAGUUCCUUAUUUUAUAAUCCAAUGUCUAUAGAAAUUAGAGAUUCUUAUUUAUGCUAUAAAUUUAGUAUUUUUACACAUUCUUUUAAUUUGUCUUAUUUUGUUUCUUUUAAAUAUUAUCUUUAACCAAUAUUCACAACUUAAAUCUUAUAAUAGGAAAAGUAAAGUUCCUUAUUUUAAUUUAAAUUGAGGUAAGUGUUUUUCAAGAUUUUUUUUUUUUUUUUUUUCAUUUUUAGUUUAGUUGGAUCUUCACUUUGGGAUAACUAGAAUUUUCUCAUAAUUUUUGUUUGUUUGUUUUUUUUAAAUACCAACCACUAUUCUAAAAUGAAUUAAAAAUAACCACAUUUAACAAUUCGAGAAUGAAAUAUCAAGUAUAUUUGAGAGAUCAAAAACAAUUUUUAUUCUUACUAAGAUAUUUGUCUUUUUAUUUGCUCAUGGUUCUUGUUAUUAUGACUUUGUAUUACAUUCCAGAAACAUAUAGUUUUUCCUUGUGUAAAUAAAUUAAUAAAAUUAAAGGAAAUUGACAAGGAAAACAUAAAAAUAAAAAGUAUGUUUGAAUAAAUAAUCCAAUUUUUUUUUUUUUAAUAUUCAUCUACUUUUCAUAAAAUUAGGACAAGUAAAAGUUACAUUUUGUUGUCCCUAAAUUGCAAUGAAUUUAAAUUAACAAUAGAUAACGGGUUUAAAUAAAAUUUGGUACAUAUCAUUGCUAAGGUGACAUUUAUUUUGCCUAACUUAGAAAAAUUGAUUUUAAAAAGAAUUUUACCAUCUAAGAUUUUUGGAAUGGAAAAAUGUAACAUUAUUUAUAUUUCAUCUCAGUCCUUUUUCCUUUCUAUUUAUAUUUCAACCCAAUCAUUUUUUUUCCUUUUUUAUGUCUAGUUUGAUUAUUUGACUUUGAAUCUCUUCUUAGUUUCAUACAAGGAUUUUAAAAGAAUAAAUUCACAUAUUUAAUUUUUUUUAUUGGAUUUGUUUUCAUAUUACCUAAUCUACGUCGCAUGUGAACACUUCCUAACAUAUAUAUAUAUAUAUAUAUAUAUAUAUACACAUAUGUAUGGAAGAGUAAGAUGACUGUUUCAAAGAAUCAUUUUUAUAAAAAUGACUAUUUAGAAGAGUUAAGGAGCAAGUCUUUGAGGGGAAAUAAAAUCAAUAGUAAAAGAAUAGGAUGACGUUUCGAAAGAAUCAUCUUUAUAAAGAUGACUAUUUAAAAGAGUUAUGGUCUCUUUCCCAAAGUAGAUAUUUAAUUUGAGAACGAGUGGGAAAAUAAAAUUAAUAGCAAUUUGCCUUUUAAUAUUUACAUAAAAGGGAAAGGAUAGGAUGAUUUUUUCAAAGAAUUGACUUCACAAAAUAGAUAUUUAAAUUGCAAAGUCAUUAUUUAUCAUAUUAAUUAAAGAUAAUGAAUUUUUUUUAAAAAAAGUCAUUGAAACAACUGUCAUUAUCUCCUUUUUUGUUGUAGUGACUUUGGAUUUACUAUUAGAUACAUAAUUAACAAAUCAAAGGAUUGAGUGCAAUUAAUUACAAUAGAUUUUUUUGUAGAUAUUAGAAUGUUGAUAGAGGCUGGACAAAAAGGAGGUAACUAGGAUUAAGGCAUAAUGGAGUAUUCCACAGUGAAGGCCAAGAACAGGGAAGAAAAAAUGAGUCAGCUGCAGGUGUUAACCUGCUCUGAUACCAUGAGGGAAAAUAAGAAGGGGAAUAAUUGGUAUAUAUUUUUCUCUAUCUACUGAUGGAAUGAAAAAGCAUCCUAGCCUCCUACGAGGGUCUAACCUUGUGAUUCUCCACUGUAUCAUAUCAGGGUGAUCCAUGGCUUGGUAGUCUUUUCCCUAAAACCUCUUCAUAUUGGCUCGUAACCGAUUCAAAAUUCACGAAAUUCAUAUAGAUCGUUCAAUGAAGUCCCCUAAUCAAGUUCAAGGUAGCCUUUGGUUAUUCUGAAAAUAGAUUUUUUUUUUUUGUUUUUUGUAGGUAUUAGAAUGUUCAUAGGGGCUGGACAAAAAGGAGGUAACUAGGAUUAAGGCAUAAUGGAGUAUUCCACAAUGAAGGCCAAGAACAGGGAAGAAAAAAUGAGUCAGCUGCAGGUGUUAACCUGCUCUGAUACCAUGAGGGAAAAUAAGAGGGAAUAAUUGGUAUAUAUUUUUCUCUAUCUAUUGAUAGAAUGAAAAAGCACCCUCCUACCAGGGUCUAACUUUGUGAUUUUCCACUGUAUCAUAUCAGGGUGAUCUGAACAAAUAACCUUGUUUUAACAAUUAGUCAUCCAUGGCUUGGUAGUCUUUUCCCUAAAACCUCUUCAUAUUAGCUCGUAACCGAUUCAAAAUUCACGAAAUUCAUAUAGAUCGUUCAAUGAAGUCCCCUAAUCAAGUUCAAGGUAGUCUUUGGUUAUUCUGGAAAUAUGACUAAUCUACUUCAGUACAAAAUGUUGAAGUUACAGAAGAAACAAGCCAUGCAUAAAUCACCCACACCCCUCUUCCAAAUUAACAAGCCAUGCACAAAUCAAAUUCCCAUACAUCAAUAUUAUUUUACAUGUCUUUUUAACAGACUGAAUUCAUUAAGACAGAAGAGUACAUAACUCAGAGGUGAAUCCUACACAGCCACUUCUACAGAACCCCAAAGAUGUAAAAGGUCAGGAACAGACACCCAAGCACAAAUGCAGAGGUUGAAAGCUCUGAGGAACUGGGUAGCACCAAAUAAAUGCCAGAAGUAAAUGCUAUCACCAUUCCUAGGAUGGAAACGUAUGUGAGUAUGGCUGAAAAUUUUAUGAAACGUAGAAGCAGAUGAUAGCUUCGUUCCAGUGAAGCAAAAAAGUGGAGAAACACUGCUGCAGUUGAGCAAUAGAAAGCUAUACCAUCUGACAACAAGAAGGCCUUGAAGGCUAUCUUUGUUGAGAGAACUGCUUUACCUUUGUCGGGGCCUUCAUCAUUGUACCCACCAGGUAGAGUAAAGCCUGCUGCAAAAGUGACAGUUGCUAUGAGCGUCGCGACCAAUAAAUGGGUGUUGGAAAUGUCCUUGAGACGAUGAGAUCGAAGUUGCUUUUCUUUCAUGAUUUCUCUGUUCCUAUCAAGAAGUAUACUCAUAUUGCUAGCAGUACGAGACGCGCCAUCACUGCUCUGAGUACUGGUCUCGCUAGCACUACGAUAUAUGCCAUCACUGGUCUUUUGAUGUCCAUUGUUAUCAGUCCACAUAUUUGCAUUUUCCUGGUAUCCUUCAUUGUCACCAUUUUGCAUAUAUGCCUUUUCUCUAAUGACCAACCGGUGUAAACUUUGUCGACCACCAGCAUGCUCCAACUUCCUCAUGAUCCAAUACUGGCAGUAAUUUGAAAGGAAUUAGAAUGAACUUGUAAAGCAAAGCUAAGGGAAAAACUUUGAAUCAACCAUUGAACAAAAUCUAGUGGCUAGCUCUUAAAGAGGACAUCAAACACAUUGAAUAAUAUUAGCCAUCCAUUUCAGAUACUUUUUUUUUUUUCCUCUGUUUUAAGUAAUCGCUUAACAGAUUGAAUGGCUAUAAUCAUUCAACAUGAUCUUUCUGCAUCAAAUAUCUUCAGAGAGAUAUGAGAAGCCUCACCAUGUCUAAUUAAAAUUUGUCUCAAACUUUACAGUAACGUACCUUGAUUAUUUCUCCAAUAUCCAUAUUUGACUGGACAAUGUCAAUAGUCUUCAAAUACUCGUUGUUCAUUGCCCUUUUGUCCACUCUAUCGUCUGCAGCCAACAUAAUCACAACCCCGUAAUGUCCAUAAAUGGCAGCUAGAUGAAGUGGUGUGUUACCUUCCUUAUCUGGCUCAUUUAUGAUACUUUCCAAGUUUGGCUUCUUCAGGAUAUACUUAACGACUCUAGCGUUUCCAUAUUGAGCUGCAACAUGAAGAAUUGUGCGCCCUUUGUUGUCAAUCAAAUCAUAAACAUCUGGAAGACAUGUGAUAAUCUGUUCCAUUACAUUAGUGUGGCCCUCUUUGGCUGCAAUGUGGAGAGCACAACUGUGUUCUACAUCCAAUAAGCCAGCAACAGAUUUGUCAUACUUCAGUAACUUCUCAGUUGCUUCGAGGUGACCCAAGUGGGCAGCAUAGUGAAGAGGGGUCCACCCAAAUUCAUCUGCCUUUUUUAUCACAUCCUUCUUCAUUUCAAAUAGUACUUCCAUAAUAUCUAUACAUUGGGAGAAGAAGGUUAGAAAUCUUAAAAAGAAGUGGAAGAAUCUACUUAAAUAGCAUUUCAUACCUCACCAAAAAUCUGUCAAGAGAAAUGGAAAAGGCGACCAAAACACCCUUUCCCCCAUAUUUGAAGCUUAAAAAUGUCCUCAAUAAUGAUCCCCUUCAUUUCCAAAAAAAAGGAAAAUCCUCAUACAUCUUGAUAAAUAAACACAUGGCUUAAUCAGUUGUAUGGGUUGAAGGUCCUUUCUUUUUUCUUAUAUAGGAAUGGGUGUUCAAAUAGGGUGAGAAUGGAGAGAACUCUCCACUCAUAAGCUUUUUGCAGUAAAAAGGAAAAAGGAAAAAAUCCAACUUCUUAGUAAACAAGAAUGAAAAGGGCACAGGAUCUUCUUACUUUAGCUUAAUUAACUUUAAAAAAGGGACAAAAGGAGUCUUAUUAAAGCAGAGGAAUUUACCAAUUUCAUCAUUCAAUUGUUUUCCUUUGAAGUGUCCUCGUACCCUAAAGAAAAAGUUAGUAACCACACGGCGAAGUUUUUCUAGAGAUAAUUCUGGAACUUCUUGGCCUGCAGCAUGAUAUAACAAACUAAAAUCAGUGAUAUCCCCAUAAAAAUAACAAAAAAGGCCAAAAAAACAAAGGCUUGCCUUUUAGUUUGUUCAUCUUGCAUAAGGGAUUGAAAAAAGGAAAAGGAAAGAAAGAAAAUUAAAGCAAAGUCUUUUCCCAAAAGUGGUCCAUAUUCAGAAGAAAUAUUUGUUGAAAUAAUUUUUUAAACUUCAUACCAAACAAGGAAAUAAUGAAAGGUGAUAUUUUUCAUCUACUUAAUUUCUUUUCUUCAGUUUCUUCCUCAUUUUUCUCUCCAGGCAUGGUGGUAAAACUUGGGUCUUAGAAAGUCAACACCCAAAUGCCUGAAGACUUGUUUUUUUUUUUUUUUUUGUCACAAGAAUUAUCACUGGACGCCCUUUGCAUGCCCAAAUUAAACUUGAAAAAGUAAAAUAAAUUAACAUUAGAAAUGAAGAUUUCAGAUAUACUCCUACUAACCAACAUUGGAUUGUGUUCCUGGAAACCAUACUCCUCGUAGAUGCAGUCCAAGUCCAUUUACAGACAGCUCGGGUAUGGGUUUACCCAGCUCAGGACC
rnacentral:lncRNA from 1 species